rnacentral:lncRNA from 1 species
UCAAAUACAAUAUAACAAUUUGGUUCGAGUCGAUUUUGACCAAAAUCACGAAAGAAACUAAACCGAACCGAACCAAACCAUUUGAUUUGGUUUAGUUUGGUCGGUUUCAGCCUAUACGCAAUCUUUUUCCUUGUACAUUUUUUCAACAUUCUUAGCCCAAUUAGUACCCCAAAAAAAUUCGCAACAUGCUACCUAUUUCUUUUUCAUUUUCUAGCGUGUCAAACAUCCUAAAUUGAACAUGUCAUAAAACUUCAAAGUUCAAUAACUAAUAUAGCUACAAUUCAAUAACUAAUCAACGUGAAACCCUAGCCCUCUCCUGAAAAAAAAAAAAAAAAAAAAAAAAAAAAAAAAAAAAAAAAAAAAAAAACCUCUCUAGCCGCACUAACCUUGAGGGGGGAAGAGGUCACUGUUCCUCCUCCUCAUCCCAUCUCCUCUCUGCUUUGACACACAAAUCCCCUUCCCCUACUUUUCCCUCUCAUCUCCUUCCCAACCUUGUCCCCUCACCUCACUUCCUUCUUACUCUCUCUCUCUCUCUCUCUCUCUCUCUCUCUCUCUCUCUACAUGGUUGCCUUUGUUAGUUUUGUUUGGUUGUUUUGCAGAUCUCGGGUUCCAGCUCUUGAUUUACUUUGUGUGUUUUAGUUUUUAUCUGUAAUAAGUGCUUCAACUCUUUUUGAGUUUGUUGCGUGUUCAUAGUAUCUACUUGUAAUUUUUUACUUGUAAGAGUUUAAAGAUUAUAGUUUGCUGUUGUAGUUUUGUGCAUUGUGGUCUAUGCCUGACUUUUGCAGGCUUGCGACUUUUAUGUCGGAAUUUCUUUGGCCCUCUAUCGCUCUUUGUGGAGGUACACUUGUGCGCAUGAUGUUUCCGGUGGAGUCCUCUGUAUUUAAAUUAACCCCUUGUGGUUAUUGAGCUUCCGUAUUUAUAAUAACCUUAAGUGGUUAUUUGUAUUUGUACUGGCUCUUAUGGUUGGCCUUUGUGCCUUAAUUAUAGAUGCAAUCUAUCGUUUUUAUUUGAAAAAUAUCAAUAACUUCAAGGUUCCAACAAACUUCAAAUUCAACAUCCAUAUGUAAAUAUUAUCCAAUUAGAUGACUUCACAUGUAUAAUAAAAUAAAUAUAUAUAUACACACACACACACACACAAGUAGGCAAUCGAGUUCAGUUUAGGCCGGUUUGCAGCAAAAGUUCAAAACCAAAUUAUUUAUAGUCCGAUUUAUUUUUUAAACCGUUAAAUUUUUUCUUGAUUAAAACCAAACCAAACCGAUAAUUAUAAUUUAAAUAAAACGGUUUAAUCGAUUUGACCGGAUUGAUUCCCACCACUAUCAUAAAUAUAAGAUAAAAAUAUACUUAAUUACACGUAACCCCAUCCUUCAUUAUUGUGCAGCAUAUCAUUAUCCCACGUUUGAGAAAAAUCAGCCCCGAUUGCCAGAAAUAUCAAAGGCAUCUAGAUCCUAGAGGAUGAUAUUUAAAGUUUAAACAAAUAUUCUACAAUACAUGUAGAAGAAAUACCCACUUGAGCUAGUAACACAACAGCAUAAGCUCUUUUCCGUUGGAUAUCUUACAUUCUAGAUCACUUAUCCCACCAUUCCAAAAUUCUUCGUUAUUGUUCACUAGAAACAUUGACUUCCCUAGUUUGCUGGAUUUUCUCUCUCUUUUCAUUCUUCCUAACACGAUUUUCUUCUCCCUUCAUAAAACUAUAUGUACGCUGUCUCACCCUCUAUGAUCACAUCAACAUCAUAUUGCCAACUUUCUUUAUCAACAUAAUGUUUCCAAGUUGAUCAAAUAAUAGGACUAAAUUGUUCGGGUUGAAUGGUUUGAUCAGAUUGACCCAAAAUUGUACCCACCCCCACCUUCCACUCCAGAUCUAGAUUUUUUCUAUUUCUUAUUCUUCUACUCAUCUAAGCCCCUUCUUCUAGCUCCAUGCACUCACCCAUAACCUACCUAGCUGCCAUUUACCAUGCAUUGCUGUGCUAUUUAAGACUCUACCUUUCUUCAUCUGAAGAGGUCGAGAGUAAAUGAACAACACAUUUUGAAAAUCUAGCAAAAAGUACAAAAAUGCAAAUUCACCAAUAACCAGUUUUCUCCCAACCAUGUUUAUUAGCUUUUGUCCCUUCAUUUCAAAACCACAACACAACAGAGUCAUGCAUGUCAAUAGGUCAAAACAAGACAGCUUUUAAUAACUUGGCACACCAAAGAAUUUGGUUAGUUUACUUUUCUAACUAUAGCAUGAUGAAAUUCUUACAUACAACUGGUGUAUACUAACUAUUCAAAGUAUUAUCGUUAUAUUUAAAUUCAUAAGUCUCUGAUAUUAUCUAAUUAAUUUAAAAAAUCUCGAACUUAAUAAAGUCAUACAAAUAUUAAUUUAAAAGAUCUCGAAGAUCUCAAACUUUAUAGAAUCAUACAAAUGUUCCUCUCGCGAUAAUUAAUCAUGUGACAAUUACAUAAAAGGAUGAAUGGAAGAGAGGUGUUGCAUGCGCACCUCACCUCAUAUGCAAGAAUUUUUCCGAGUAGAGUAAUCAAGAAAUUAAUGAGAAAUGAACACGUUGCGUUGCCACCUUGAUUGUGUGAGUUGGUGAAUUACUUGAAACAUCUCUGUCCACCAUCUCCCUGUCUCAUCACAGCAUAAGUACAUUUCAAUAACAUGUAUUUGACAACUAACUAUAAGCCUCUAUUGACUUUCCCACAAGUUCAAAAAUCUCAUGUCAUAAAUAUCUCUGACUUUCAAUGCGUUCAAAACUAUGCGAAAAUGUUGACUUUGAAUAAGUAAGCAGUGGACAUGUGUCCGUCGUGUCGCUUUUGAUGUCGUGGAUGAUGGAACUGGGAAAAUGAUAAGUCCAUUUUUGUGGAUAUGAUUGUAGUCUAGUUUCCUAAUUACGUCUGAAUGUUUGUUGUUCCAAAAUUGAAAAUACAUGCAUGGUGGAAAAUUCUAGCUAGGAAAGGGAACCCUCUUGGUUUUCGUUUCCCACUCUUCAAAUUCUUGGUUCAGUUGAUGACUUUACUUGAUGAAUAUUUGCUUUUGCUCCAUGUCCUUCUCUCUAGAGCGCUGAAGUAGAAAAAAAAUGGAUACAAGACCGCGAUAUGUUCAACUUUGGAAGGCUAGGUUUUUGGUGAGUUUGAAUUUAGGGGAAGAGAUUAAGAAAAGAAGACAGAGAUUUUGGAGUGAGGAAGUGGGAAUUGUGGAAAUGAGCUUUCAUUGAAUAUAGGCGAUUCCGAAUCCGACAAAUAGGAUGGAGACAAGAAGAGAACGAAACCUCCUAAAUCUACUUCAGAAAAAUUAAAUGAAUAGAGUCACCAAUGAGGCACUACUGCUAUGCGAUGACGUAUUUAGAUUAAAGGAAUGCAAAUAUGAGAUCAUUGAGUUUGUAUCAAAAUACAAAUUUUCAUUAAGUUUAUUUUAAAAUACAAAUAUUUGAUAUUGCGUAGUCAUUUAUCCAAUGUGAGAUAAUUCAGGAGAUAGUUUAUACAAUACCUAAGAAGAUGAUCAUAGGAAGAGCCACCUUGAAGUACAUAAUAAAAUGGAUCGAAACUCAUCCAAACUUAGCUUUAGACAAUCAACCAAGCGACAGUGAGGUACUGGCAGACAAUUUUUGUUUUGCUACCAACAUCUUUAAAGUAACUUAUUUUAUUUGUAACGUUCUAAUUUUAUCGGAUAUUUAAAAAUGCUUCCAUUUUUAUUUUUUAUAAAAAAAAUUCAAAAUAAUGAUCCUAAAGGACAGGGGAAAAACAAAGGUGACCUACUCUCAAUCAUGAUUGAUGCCAACUAUUGAUUUAUAGUUGUUUAGUAUUUUUAGUUGGGCGAAUGGUGAAUGCAUGUACAGAAAACAUAAACUGGUUUUCCUUUGGCAUACUCAUUUUUAAAUGUUUGAGAGGAAUAUUGCAUGAACUUGGCCUCUUUUUCUGAGCUCAAAGUCAGUUAUGGGCACAUACUAGAUUAAAAAACCAAUCCGCAUUCAAAAGUUGUUCUGAUAGCAAACUUGAAAGAGGGUAAGGCAAUACCUAGUUAAAGUCCAAAAAAUAAUACAGUUGACAUUGCCUAGUACCCUACCCAAUGAUCAAGAAUGUCUUUCCAGGCCAUAGAGGAUUUGUUUUUUUUCCUUUUUUUCUUUUUUGAGUAAGAAAAGAAAGUAGAGCUUCUAAAAUAUUUAGUUCUCUGCAAGGGACUCAAGCAAUUAAGAUCAGUUACCCUUGCAAUUAAGGUCUUGGGUUCAGCCUCUAGGGUUCUAAUAGGUAUAGGAUAUAGGUUUUUUUGUUCUUUCCCUUGUUUCUUUUUGUACUUUUGGUUACUAAGGAGGUAGGAAGGGAAAGGGAGCCUGGUGUUAUAUAUGCUCUCCACCAUUUAAACUAAACCCCCAUUAAGCAUUAGAAUUUAAUCAAAUAGUUUCCAAAUGACCCCUUUUUCCUUUUUUCUUCCUCGUUCAUUUUAUAUAUUUUGCUCUAUUUGUGCACAUUGCUUAGAGAUGCACAAGGCUUGGGCUUGGAUAAGGUUUUGAGAAUGCUUGCAGACAGCCCAAAAGGCAUAUUUGCUUUAGGACCAGGCAGGCAAGAUCGAGUAAAAUUGUACACCAGUAUUAACUCUAAAACAAAAACGAAAAAACAUUGUAAGAUGGUAUGUCAUUCACCCAAAUCUCAAAGCCAUCUUAUUUUAGUUGAACAUAGCUUGUUUAGUUGUUAUUUUUGGAUGUGGUAACAAUUUAUUUCUUAUAAUCAAAGGGCCGUAUGCUGUGGUAAAUGUUGUUCUGUCUUUUUUUCAUUUUUUUUAAUACAGACAAUAGUCUAAACUACAGAAAUAGGAAUUUCACACACACAUACACACAACCUCUGAUAUGUAAGUCAAAACCCUUUUUUAUUGGGCUAGACCCCGUUGGCAACGUUGUUCUAUCUUAAUUUGGUUGCUUGUGGGCACAUUUCAACGUUGCCAACUUUCACUUGAUCUGUUUGUGGGGUGUUCGGUGUUUGCAUCUUUCUUUCUACUUUGUAAUUUCUUUCCAUUGAAGAACAUGCUCUGAGCAAAUAUGCCUGUGUUCCAGUCAGUUCAAGGAAUGAAAGUUGUGUGUCAUGAGCUGGUACAGUCGACCGAUGAUCCGCAACGCAGUGCUAGAGAUGAGUUAGUGAGGGAUGCAGAUAGACUUGUUUCUCGCUUAGCAGAUAAGGUAGCCAAGACUUUUGAGUUCAGUUUGACAGGAGCUUCAUCUAGGUCUUGUAAAUACGUCCUGAAACACUCUUAUGCAGAAAUUUCAAAAUAAUUACUAACACUAACAUAAAAUCAAUAGGGCAUAUUUAACAGCAAUUCAUUUUGCAGAAAAAGAACAGAAAAUAUUGAUCCAAUUUCAAAAACCUUGAGAGCUACAAUAGCCUCUAUACACAUACUUGAGACCUAUAUUACAAGUUAGCACCUGAGGAUUCUGAUUACGCGACGAGUAAAACCCAAAUGAAGAUUCAAUCCUCAAGCCAAAAACACAUGGAAUCAAUAGGCUUAAACCACCAGAGGAAUUUACCUCAAUAUACUAACCGCUGUCAUGGAUCAUGGAUUAUCUGUUGUACAUUCCAUACCUUACACUCACACUCCUCAACUGCAAAAGAUUUUAUACCAUUUAAACAGCUGCAAGAUUGUUAUGGACAUAGUAAAACGCCUGACACAUCUAGCCUUUCUUUCUUUAAAAGUUCUACACAUCUAACCUUCACUGUAGACCUGGAUAAUUGGUCAUAGUUAUGGACAUAAUAAAAUGCCUCACUACAUGGAAAUGCAUUGCUAAUUUGUUAUCAAAAUCAAAAAAUUUAAUAACUCAUAUUCAUAUUUACCUUUACAAUGCUCUUGUAUCAUUCACACUUUGUAGUAACAUUGUACUGCUUGAGUGCUUCUGAAGUUUCUAAGAUUUUCUUACAGAAAGCAGGACUUUUUAUCUAAGAUUUUCUAAGAUAUCUUUGGUACAAAUUGUGUACAAAUCGUUGAAAUUAAAUUAUUUUUUUUUAAACACUUCUAAUAUAAUAUAUUAUGCAACCUGGAGUUAGUGAACAUAUGCAUCAAAAUGUUCUUAAAUCAACCGCCUCGUUUUAGCCUCUUUAUUCUCUCAAGGGCGCCAAGGUGGGUGUCACCAUCCUUGGUCGCAGCAGCAACAUCUCCACCCUCAUCUUUUUCAGCCUCCUUUCUCUUGUUAGCCAACUCUCCAAAAACAGCAGAUGGGACCUCCUUUAGUGCAAUUUCAACCAUUUCAUCAUCUUCUGAAUCACUUUCUUCCAGUAGCUUAAUUUCUUCAUGAAUUGCAGUAACUUUGAUCUCUUUGUCCAUCUGUGAUUCUACUCCAGCACUCACAAAGCCCACUUUUCUGUUACUAUCUUUGGUGGUAGUGUCUUUAGCCACAGGUGCCAACUGCCUCUCUAAAGCAGCCAUUUCAUCUUCAGGGACUCCAGCCUGUUUCAACUUGUGUUUUGCCUCAUCAAUGUUCAACCUCUGAUCCUUUUGCAUCAUAUACUCGGGUAGAAUAAAGUGUGUCUGGCUAUAGCUUGCAGAAACACUUCGCUUAAUUUGAAGCAUCUCUCGGAAGGUAUCUUCAUUUCCAUGUUGCACCUCAAACUCAUGCCAUUUGUUCCAGAAAUCUACAUCAGAUCGUGGAUCCGAAAACUGUGAUGCAAAUAUAUAUACUCCCCGAGCACGAUCAAUUUCUCCCAAGCUCUUCUCAAGCUCAGUAUACUUCAAACACAUUGUCUUCACAUCUUUGUCUGGAAGACCGGAUUUUAUUGCUUGCUCAUAUAUUUCCCUUGUUUUGGGGAUGCCAAAUAUUUCUGCAGCACGGGCAAUGUACAUUUCAUACAUGCUCAAUUUAUCAUGGUUUGGAACAGCCUUAGUUGCUUCAUCAUAGAUCUUCAUAGCGCGCUUUGCUAGACCAUAAUCCUCCUCCAGAUUUGCAAAUUGAAGAUACAAAGGUUUCUUUGCAUCAGCAGGCGCUGCUUGAACAGCAUCCUCAAAUAGCUGUCUUGCACGUUCCAGUUCUUUCUUCCCAUAUCUCUUUACAAAUUUAGAGAGAUAUGUAACCCAUAUGUCUUUGACAUGUGGGUACUUAAAUAUUUUGGUACCUUUUUCAUACACCUUGAACGCAUCUUCAAAGUAUUUAUGCUUCUCCAGAAGCAAUGCAUAAUUGAUUAUGAUUUGUGGUGUGGCUAUCUUCAAAUCCAUUAUCCUCUCAUAAACAGCCCGGGUGGACUCCAAUUUACCAAGGCUCUCCUCUAAAUCCACGUAAAAAGUCCACAUUCUCAAGGACUUUUGCAGCUUCAUCUGAACCGGUUGGUUACCAUCAGCCGCCACUCUGCGUUUCACCUCAACGGAUGGCUCUGCGGUGGCCAGCCUCAUUAGUUCCAGUGCUCCUUUGAAAUUCUUAUGCCUCAAUUCCAUUUCUGCCCACUCACACCAAAGACUAGCCAAAUAAUCCACUGUCUUGUAGUUCACCUGAACUGCUUUAUCAAAAAUCACUCUUGCAUUUGCAAUAUCUUUGUGAUUCUCGUACAACUUAGCAAACGCAACCCACAACGUAUGAGGCUUUCCCACUGCUUUCAUUGGAUCAACCGUCCUCACAGCCUCUGUGUAAGUAAGUAUCUGCUUUGUGGGAUUACCCUCAAAGAGCUUCACUCUUUGGUGCCACUGCUCUACAUUAUGGGGAUUUUGUCGUAAAAGAACACUAUUAGCCAGUAUAGGACUUCUAUCCAUAAGAUGCUCCAAUCGAGCCAACCUCAAAUCUACGUCCUUAUCAUCAUGUAACCAAAACCCAUUAAGCAUUUCCUUCUCAAGCUCAGCCACAGACAAGUUAACAUCCAAUCGAAGAUCAACUUCCUCCUCAUUUCCAUCCUCUUCUACCCCAUUUUCUUCUUCCUCCUCUUCAUCACUCAAAUCCGCAGUCUCCAUCUUAUGGAUAAGCAUGCUAUCUUCAAACCCAACAUACGAAUCGAAAAUUACACUAAAAUCUCUUACCGUUACCACAGUAGUCAUACCCUCCUCAAAUAUAUCCCUAGCUUUCUCGUGCAAAUUCCUCCUAAUGUAAUAGUCAGCAAGUGAGGUCCACAACCGUCCCACCUCGUCUGUAAAUUUCCUAAUCCCACCUCUAAUAAUAGCAUCUACAUUGAGGCCUGACACCUCCUUAGCGUGCUUAGCAAGCAAAUCACACAAUUCCAACCACAGCCUAUGUUUCGUUUUCCCCUUUAUCGAAUAGAACUGGUCAUCAUUCAACACUGAAGCCAGCCUCUCGGCAGCCUCUUGCCAAAGACUAGAAUUUAUCAAGAACUCAAUGAAUUUUUCAAUAUGGGUAGGGUCAUAUUUCAAAUACCUGCGAUAAAGCCGAAGCGAGGUCUCAAUUGGAAUACCCUUUCGGCUCACGAACUCCAGGUACGGGUCCCAAAUGCCGUCGUGCUGCGUCACUGGAAGAGCACACAGCGCUCUGUCGAAGGUCCGGCGAGUCCGAGUGAACAACUUCUGCUCCGUCAAAGUUUGCAAGUACCGAAUCCAAAUUUUGGGCAUUUUGUGCAUAGUAACCAGGGCUCUUUCAAAAGUGUUGUUGAGGGUUUCAUACUGGAAGUGAGUGAUGGGUAAAUUGCGAACGAGCUCGAGGCGUUCGUGAAGGUAAGCGGACCAAAGCUUGUAGCUCCCAGGAAGGGCCUUGAGUGCUCGCUCGUAGAUUAUAAAACGCUUCUUGAAUGGAGAUUCGGAUCGAGCGAUUAGGUAACGCCACCAUACCUUCAGGCUAAAGGGGUUUCGGAGAAGCUCUUCUUCGUAAAGAAGGUCGUCUUGGGAUGGGUAAAGCUCUUGAGAGAUCGACAUAUGAAGUUGAAUAAUCGGGAAUUUUCUAUGUAUUCGGAGGCCAUAUAUAUAAUACACUCCUCCUAAGCCAAGUCAAAAUAUAAUUCCUAAUUCUAAUUAGGGUAGGAAAUUAAAAGUAGAUAGAUAAAUUACAGUCAAUUUGGGAAAGUAAGGUCAACUCAAAGCUAAACUCUCUUUUCAAGUUGGUGCAUAGAUGUCUCUAAUGCUCAACUUGUCUAUAAGGCUCGUACUAAUUGGAAAAUAUGUGUUGCACUUGCAAGUAAUUAAGAGGUCCAGAAUAAGCAAGUUAGGAUGUGAAUUUAUUUAUUCAAAUAAGUGGUAUUUUUAGUCAAUUUGAAAUACUUAUAUAUGUAAUUUUAAAAAAUAAAUUUGAACUAAUGUGAAACUUGUACAUUAACCCAGACAUGAGCAUAGCUCUUGAGGCUGCAUUUGUUUUCUCUACUAAUUUGAAAGAUAUGAUUUCAACUAUAUAGAGCCUAAUUUUCACCAUAGGGUAUCAAAUGGACAAAUCUCAUCCAGGCAAUCAACUAGGUACUAGCAGACAAGUUUUGUUUUUGCUACCAGCAUCUUCAAUGUAAAUUAUUUGUUUUGUAUCGUUCUAAUUUUAUCGGAUGCUUUUAAUUUUUAUUUUUUUUAAGAAAUUUAAAAUAUAAUGAUCCUAAAGGACAGGGAAAAAAGUAAGGUGACCUAAUCUUAAUCAUGAUUGAUGUCAACUAUUGGUUUAUUCUGUUUAGUCUUUUUGGUUGGGAGAAUGGUGAAUUCAUGCACAUAAAACAUAAACUAGUUUUCCUUCGGCAUGGUCAUUUUCAAAUGGAGGAAUGUUGCAUGAACCGGGCCUCUUUUUCUGAGCUCAAAGUCUAUGGGUAAAUAGUAGAUUUAAAAACCAAUCCACAUUCAAAAGUGCAGAGUAAAAAUUAGAGUUGCCAUUGCCUAUCUACUAAUAGGUAGAAAGGAUAUUAGGUUUAUUUAUUUAUUUUUCUUUUGGUAACUAAUGAGGUAGGAAGGGAAAGGGAGCCUGGUGGUAUAUAAUAUAUAUGCUCUCUACCAUUUAAAAUCUCCAGAAAAUAUUAGAAUUUAAUUCAAUAGUUUCUAAUUACCUUUUUUUUUUCCCCCUUUUUUCCUUGUUCAUUUUUUCAUAUUUUGCUCUAUUUAUGAACAUUGCUUAGAGAUGCAGAAGGCUUUGGUUUGAUUAAGGUUCCCAGAAUGCUUGCAGGCAUCCCAAAAGGCAUGUUUUCUUUAGGACCAGGUAUGAUCGAUUACAAUUGAUCACAACUAGUAUAACUAUAUAAAAAAAACAGUCAGAUGGUAUGUCAAUCACCCAAAUCUUAAAGCCAUCUUGUGGAAAUAGUUACUAUAACAAUACCAUAAAAAACAGUAGGGCAUAUUUAACAGCAAUUCAUUUUGCAGAAAAAGCACAGAAAACAUUGAUCCAAUUUCAAAAACUUUGAGAGCUACAAUCGCUUCUAUACACACACUUGAGACCUACAUUACAAGUAGCACCUGAGGAUUCUGAUUACGCGACGAGUACAAGCCAAAUGAAGAUUCAAUCCUCAAGCCAAAAACACAUGGAAUCAAUAGGCUUAAUCCACCGGAGGAAUUUACCUCAAUACACUACAUGGAUCAUGGAUUAUGGAGGCUGUUGCUGUUGUACAUUCCAUACAUUACACUCCCACUUCUCAACUGCAAAAUAUUUUAUACCAUUCAAACAGCUGCAAGAUUGUUAUUGGGGGUGGAGGUUGGCAAAAAGAGAUGAUGAAGAAAUAAAGUGUACCCGCUCAACAGCAUUUGCCAUGCCCGACACAUCUAGCCUUUCUUUCUUUAAAAGCUCUACACGAUCCCGAAGACACUGAUUCUGUUCUUCAGCCUACAUUUGGGGAGGAAAAAAAUUAAAAAAAAUUAAAAAAUUAAAAAAGAAAAAGAAGAAGCAAACACUCGUAUUACGUUACAAUUAAAUAAACGUUCCUUUUAAAAUGUGAGAGAAUAAAUUCAAUGAGAUAAUGCAUGCUUUGGAAGUGAAGGAAUUUGUCUGGAGAGGAUUUCACAUCAACAAUAAACCAGAUGUGUGUGCGCAGUUGUGAGAGAGAGAGAUGUUCAAAUUUGAUUAACCAUCAACCCCAUAAAAAGUUUCUGGACAGCCAAACGAGUAGAAACUAGGAAAAGUUACCAUACUACAAGCUAAGGGGAAAACAUCAGUGAAUCAAUGCUCUUCAAUUAAAAACCCAUGCACUAAUUGACAGACCUUUAAGGAUGGUCUAACUGCAGAAGUUAACAGUGUCAGAAAGUUAGGGGAAAUACAACACAGGUAUCAAUGUAACAGCAUCUUUGACCUAAGUGGCCAAGUACUACAUCAUCUGAGGAUAUGUAUGCAUACACUCGUGUAAACAAUUUCACAUCUUAGACUAAUAUCAUUGAAACAAUAAAGCUUAAAAGGGUCGACCUUGUAUUGGCUGGCUCCUUUUUAAUUUCAGACCGCCCACAGCUUUGAGUACCCAGUACAUAUUGUUUAUCAACUUACCAGAACACUUUUUCCCAGUAAGAAUUUCUUCCAUGCGUAUCCCAGCUACAUACUUGUUUUAUGCACAAAUGAUAGGGUGAAAACCCUUGACUAGUAAAAGUGCUUGGUAACUGUUCCACAGGGCAUAUCCUAUUACCUGGGAUUUAAUCUCGCCUUUAUAGGAUUUGGGGUUUUACUCAGUGUCGGCUGAUAUGCCCAGUGGAACUCCAAUUGAUCUCAAUGAACCAGACAGAUGUGAGACCCUAGCACUCUUGAAUUCUAGAACACAAUAUAUAUACUCAGUGUGUGUAUAAAUGUUGGACAAUUCCCUGUGUCGACUGAUAUGCCCAGUGGAACUCCAAUUGAUCUCAAUGAACCAGACAGAUGUGAGACCCUAGUACUCUUGAAUUCUAGAACACAAUAUAUAUACUCAGUGUGUGUAUAAAUGUUGGACAAUUCCCUAAAAACUAGAUGAUAUCAUCUCUACCAAGCAGCUUUUAAUUGGAGUUUAAGUUUGAAUAUAUCUACCGUUUCCAGCAUCUUUGUCAAGUACUGGAUUUGAUCCUUCUUCAUUGUGGACAGAUCAUGAGCAACAUCCAUUACAUUAGUCCUGCAUGAAUACACAUGUUUAAACAAUGAAGUUUACACUAAUAGGCACUGUAAGAGAUAAUAUGAAAUGUAACUAUAUAGAUUAAGAUGGAUACUAUCAAGAUAAGGCUCCCUUCCACCAUAGUACCAAAACAAAAGUGGAUAAGACCACCUCUUGGACGGUUUUCAGGCACUGUUAGAGUAGUGGGGGCAAUUGGGGAGGUGGGGGGAUGUAUGUACAGAACCUCUACAACUUCAACAAUGGAAGUAAACACAAGGGCCUUUAUUAUACACUCUUGUAAGCUUCAUUAGUUACCAAAGCAAAUGAACACUAGCCUAAACAAAAGGGCCUUUAUUAUACACUCUUGUCUUCCCCCUUGCAUUCAUAUGUUCUGCAUGAACAUAUGUAUCUUGUACUUACCAUUCUAUUGAAACAUGAUGGCAUGUGUUGCAUUACAUUUAGGAUGAGUUAUGAAUCUUGGCAAUUUUAACAGUCAACCAACACUCAGUUUCUUUUUCUUUUAUAUUUUUUUUUUUUGGUCCAAGGAAAGGAGUUACUAAAAGGCCAUAUAUUCAUUUUGUCAAGAAAUCAAGAAAAUACUUACUUAUCUGAAAACAAACGAUCCAGAGCUUGUUCUUCCACAAGUUGUUCAACAGUAUCAAGAGCAGUUCCCACCUGCAAGCAGAGAGAGACUAUACAUAACAAGAAAAUAUAUUGGAUGCAAAGAAUAAAUAAAACGAUGAUGUAUAAUAUAUAAUGUAUAUUAGAAGUUAGAACCAAGAGGAUCUUGAACUAAUAGUUAGGUAAAAAAGAAAAAAAAAACAUCGGAGCAGGGUUAGUUUGCUUAUUAAUUCUAUUUGUAAACUGUAUACAAGCAUGCAAGGCACAUCAUACAGCCAUAAAUGCUAUCGUUUUCACUCAGCAGUAAUCAUCUGAAGAUUCCAUCUGUUAGACAUGUGAUUCCUUUAGGAUUGUAAUAAUGUCUAAAUCAGUAAGAACCAGAGGUACUUCUUGUUGCCUGCAUAAAACAUGAAUGAGUUGGGUCUUAGGAAUCAUCAUUAGCCACCACUAGUUCCCUCUCGUCAUGGAACCUCUAAUUGAAUCAACUAUUACUCCAUUUUCGGAAAUUACUUAAAAACAUAAAUGAUCGAAAAAAUGUCAUCAUUUCACUGGACAUGGGUAUGAGCCUAUUUAUACACGAGGCUUCAAAUUACACAACACAAGGGCCCAGCAUAUGCAUGUUGACACAAAUUACUAAAUGUUUCUUUGAAAACUAAUAAAAUUCUAAAACUUAUCCCAUGUUUUUCCUAAUCAUGGUAAAUCCUACUUCUAUCCUUUCAGUCCUUGGUAUUCCUCUUUUUACUAAAAUUUUCAUCUGCAGUGCCUUCUGGUAUCAGAAUUUGCCCGAAUUUUAAUGACUUGCUCUAAAACCAGUUCAUCAUCUUUUUCCUUUUUUUUAAUCCAUAAUAGUUUUGUAUAAAUAUAUCAAGAAUAUCACGGGUCAGCUAGGUGUCUAAGCAUGUCUUAAUGUAUUCAUUUCCAAAAUAGGUCUAACUAAACGACCGUCUAAUGCAUAACCAUAUUUUCUUUGCUAAAAUCGCAUUAAUUGGUGGCAGUCAGUCAGCCAGUGGAAUGAACAUUUCUUGUUAAGUAACUCUACAAUAAAGCUGCAAUUACAUUAACACAAACUCCAUGUAAAAGAAAUUCAUUACUAAGGUAUAAAUUAAGACUCAAAUAAAACAACUAUCAGACCCAACUAGAACUCUUUUAUGACAACCAGAAGGCUAUUUACACGAGAAAAUAUGCAUCGUGCAUUAAAGUGACCUCCCUCACUUAAAACUCACUCUCUCUAAUUUCAGAAAUAACUUGUAAGCUAAUUACACAGAAGAAUCUACAUAAGUUGUUAAAUGGAAUAACUGUGCAUUAAUGGCAUCACAAAAUAUUGAUUUGUAUACCUGUGUUUCAAGGCAUACUGACUGAAACUCAUCCUGUAAAAUUAAAAAGGACAAAUUCUUCAGAAUUCAGCUGAAAGCAUUAUAAAAUACAUUAUCACAUAUAAAUACACAAAUAAAUACUCCUGAUGAGACCCCCAAAUGCACACCACCAUUCAACAUAUCAUUAAAUCCUUUGAUAAGAACAUUUAAGAAAUCAAGAGAAGAAAUGCAUUGUUAAUAUUGGCAAAUGGUAUGAAAUGAAUUACCUCUACAUUUCCAUGCAAAGAAGUGAUGACCUGAAAAUUUGUAUACGAUAUCAAUGAAAUGAGCAUUUGUUCUGAAUUUGAACUCAAAAAAGAGACCCUCUAUCCAAAUCUCUGCUUACAAAGUGCAGAGAAAUAAACAAAAUGUCUACAUCGAUUAUUAAAUGACAUUAUCUGUACCUGAAUAAACAUCCUAUGAAGACGCUCUUGCUCGGCAGUUGUAAAAUUCGGAAAUGCUUGGCAAAAUUCCUUUUGUGUUCAUCAUAAAAAAAAGUUAGUCAAUUGAAUCUGGAGGAAGAAAUGCAUAAAUUCGAAAGAAUAAAAUAAAAUUUCCAGACACAAUGAAAUGGGUAUCUUUUGACUUUGAAAUGGCAAUUGAGCAAACCAAUUUCUAAAGAAGAUGAAAUUGUAAGUAAAGAAACCUGCUUAGAACAGGGAGUGAGCAGGGAACGAAUGCAGAACUUGAAGGAUUUCUUCAUCUCCAUAUGCCUCGUCCCCAUCGCAGACACAAAAGAUUCUGAUUUUUUAUAGAGAUACUACAGAAAGAUUUAAGAUCCACACAAGACCAGAGUGAUUCAACACAACAUUCAAAACUAAGUAAACCGUGCAUCGUGAAAUUAGGGUUUACUAGAAUCCAGAAAUUGAAGUGAAAUCUAAAGAAAAUAAAGAGGGAAAUGUAUACCAGCAGAAAUUGAAGUGCCUACGGUAUCUUCUUCUUGUAGAUGCAGAUGUCGUGGUCCGGCUCGUGAAGACUCCCAAAGAUAGUGAGUGAAAUUUGAGAACAAACAAAAGGAAAAUAGAAAGAGAGGGAAAUUUGAAUGCUAGCUAUUUUUGUGGGUUUGAAAUGAAUAAUAAGAAAUGCUAAAAAUAUGAGGCUAAGUCAAUAAUAAGUAUUAUAUAAAGAAAUAAGUGAAUCUUGAAUUAACAAGCGCAUCUGGUGUAGUGGUAUCAUAGUACCCUCCCACGGUACUGACCAGGGUUCGAUUCCCUGGAUGCGCAUUUCACUCUUUUAGCAUUUUUCAAUUUUAUGAUUUAAGUCUCACACCUUACUCUCCGUUAUAACUCAGAAUUUAACUAAAAGUCGAGAGCGCCAAACUUAAAAACAGCACCAAAAACCUAUGAAACCCUGGACAACAAAUUCCCUUGUCGCUUUAUAAACAAAAGCGCUGCGAACCAGAGAAAUAAGGAGAAGGAGUUCUUCUUGGGUUACACAUCUCUUUGGAUCAAGUUUGAAGGUUAGUCUUCAAGCCUUUCUCUCCUUCAAUUUAUAUUUUUCUAGUUUAGGGUUACCAUGGUUUCUAAAUGGCUAUCAAAAUUGGGUAUUUCUGACUAAAUUUAUGAACGUAUUGAAUGGGUUUUGUGAUCUUUGCAGCACUAUGGCUGGGUUUUGGGAAAUCUUAACAAAACACUCUAUGCCCAUGGAUAUUGGUGUGUGAUUUGUGUUUAUGGUACAGUUCUGUAGUUGCUUUGUUAACUUUAUCACUUUGAAUUAGCUAAUAUACUUCACGAGGAGCGCAACUUAGGUCACAAAGGAGAUGGUGGAUGGAAGGCAGUUGCUUGCAAUACUGCUGAAAAUAUAUUAGCUGCACAAUUUAAUCUCCAGAUAAGUGCUAAUAAUAUUAGAAAUCGUGUUAAGUCAUGGAAAAAGUUCUAUAGAGUAGUGAGUGAUAUAUUAAGUCAAAGUGGAUUCAAUUGGGAUUCAACAAAAAAAGAUAAUAAGUGUAGAUGAAGAUCAUGUUUGGGAAGAUAUGUGAAGGUAAAUGUAUAUAUAUAUAUAUAUAUAUUAAAUUUAUCACGUGCUUUUUUGUUGUUGUUGUUGUUGUUAAAGAGUACUUUUAAGAUUCUUAUUUGACUUUGAUUAUUUGUUUGGUAGUCUCAUGACGAUGCUAGAGGUUUUCGAUUUAAAGUUAUAGAAAAUUGGGAUGAUAUAGUAGAUUUGUGUGGCAAAGAUAGAGCCACUAGAGAGGGCGCUGAAACAGAUGCAUAUGCAACUGAGGUUAUGACUCCUACUAAUGAAGUUGAUCAUAUUGAUUUAGAUGGUGAUACACAAGGUUAUGACUCCUACCAAAAGAUGUUGGUUGAAUCAUACAAAGGACAAGCUACCAAAAUUGCUAUGUAAAAAUUGUGGUGGUAUCAAAUCCCAUAUAAAGCAUGAGAAUGGCCACUUUUGAUAAUCAUUUCAAUUUUAGUUUUUUUUUUUUUUUUUGGGGUACUAGAGUAUAGAGGAAAAUGAGAGUGAGAAUGGGGGUGAGAGUGAGAUUGAGAGAUAGGAUGAGAAGGGGGGAUGAGAGAAGGCAUAACAAAAGUGAAAGCAAAAUCUUGAAAAUAAAAUAGUUUGAAAUAGAUUUCCGUUUUUAGUUUUUGUUUUCGCUGUUGUUACUCCUCCCUCUCAUCCUCUCAUCUCGUCUUCACUCUCAAUCUCAUCUCCACUCUUAUUCUCACUUCCAUUCUCCCUCUUUUUCCUCUAUACUCUAGCACAAAAAAUGAAAACUAAAAGCUAAAAUUGAAAUGGUUAUCAAACGGACCAUAAAAUUACAUCCUAAAAUUAAAAUCUUUACAUGGUAAUUGCUAAAAGGAGACUUCAUACAAAGGAAAGAUUAUCUCGAUUUUCUUGUUUAUCUUCUUCUUGUGUGUUUUUGUAUUGGAUUCAUAAUCUUCUUCUCAUUUAUUUUCCAUAUUAUUCUUUUUAUUUUAUAAUGGAUUUGGAUGGGGGAAAUAAACUUGGAAUUUGGACAAAAGUCAGAACUUCUAAAUUUGACAUACAACAAUUCCCGUGUUUGGAAUAAAAAAAACAUUGAAAGUUAGAAAUUCUACAUGAAAAAAAAAUGAAAUUUGGAGAUCAUGAAUGCCAACAUUAAAUUCUAUCUAAAAAAUUGUUAUUUCUAAAAUUCCAAGAGAGUGAAAGUUUUAAAAUAUUAAAUUUCAUGUUUAAAUCCAUUAGCCAAAUAAGAAAAUUUAUAAAUUCUAGAAUAUUAAUUUGCAUCAUUUUAAAUUCCAUCAUUUAUAAAUUCCUUAGUACUUUUCAUCAUCCAAACACACCUUUGGUAUCUUUUGAGGAAUUUUAUUGAAUGUCAUGCCCCAAUUUGGCCCCCAGGUUGUUUCACUAACUGGAUUUGGACUUCCAAAUUAAAACGUAAUAGUACUAAGCUCCAUUCACAAUGUAAUAUUAUAAUGUUUAAAUGAUACACCAUUGUUUGAGCAAAUUUCCCUACAGGGAAUAUUCGUGUGUAGAUUCUUCGCCCUUCGAGCUUCCUUUUAUUUCUUCUUCCUCGAUCCCUACAAAAAAGGUUGGAGUUAAUAGACCACACCCAUGGGGUGUUGGCCAAAGAGCCUCCGAGGCCUAGGUCAGUUAAAUGUUCUUGAGAAAGAUACUGAGAUAACAUAAAUGAUGGAGGUCUUCUCUCAUAGGGAGAGCCGGGUGGCUGGAGUCGUGAGGGAGAGAGAGAGCCAAGAGUGGCGCGAGAGAAAGAGAGCUUUGGCUAGGGUUUUAGAAUUACCUCUUGUGUGUUGUGUAGCCAUGUAUUUAUAAACUCCUUGUAGGCUAGGGUUUGAAGAAUAAUCUAUAUUUGGUUAGGAUUAUUCUUAUACAUAAAUAGGAGAUUGUUAUUAAUCAAGGAUUUUCCUAAUUAAAUAGGAUUUAAUUAAGGUAAUCAGUUGACCUAAUGAAUAUUCCUUUUGCAUGUGUCACCAAUGGCGGAUCCACCAUGGGGUCAAUGGGGUCAGACGACCCCAUGGCAGCCCUGGAAAUGGCUUGGAGGUCCUUGCUUUCUCUUGGCAGCCAUGGGAGACCACCUCAUGGAGAAGAAGAUGCAAGCUGCUAGGGAGAAGAGAGAGAGAGAGAGAGAGAGAGAGAGAGGGGUAGGAAGUAGCCGACACAAAUUUUAAUAAAAAGGAAGAUAUUUUGUUAGGGUUUUUAAAAUAUUUUUUAAUUCUAUUGGGUACACCUAUAAAUAUUAAAAGUAUACAUCAAUAACAUAAAGAUAUCAUAUACCACAACGGUUCCCUUUUUUUUGGUAAUAUUUCAAGGUAUUUUGUUAUUUGGGUUACAUAAUACAUAUAUUAGCUUGAUUUAUUGAAUGAUGUUUUUAUUAAUUGGAAUAAGUUUGGUGUGUUUUUUGUUUUUUAUUUUUGCAUUGUUUCACCUUAAAAAGAAAAUCGGAACUUUAACACUAUGACCCCAUAGAGUAACAAUCCUGGAUCCGCCACUGCGUGUCACCCAUCUGAAAUAUGUGUUCCCACAACCAUAAUAUCACAUUGUUAAAUAGAAUGUAGGUGUAGAAACCAAAAUUUCAUCAGUCAAAAUUCAAAAUUUGACUAGUCAAAGCUAGCUGGAACAGUAAUGGGUUCCACACAAAUACAUGUGGCACAUGCUCAUCAAGACGAAGAUGGACGUUGGAGAUCACACAUGCCAACAUCUAAGAGAUCCAUCAAUCAAAUUAAAUCAUAUGACAAAAAGGAAUAAAAUAAAUCAUAUUCCUAAAUCAUAAGUUAAUUUCCUCAAAUCAUGGAUUUUGACUUAAUUAAAAGUUAAAUUAAGGGAUGCAGAUUGGGGGUUCCAAAUCUCUAUGCCCAAAGCAACACCUAAACUCUCAAGUUCUUCAUCAAGCGUGUAAAGAAUCAACAAACACAUGUCCAUUCCUUCACCACCAAAGCCGAAAACUAUCCACCACGUGACACUACUCGUGGUCUUGACAUGCUUGAGAUCAAGUCGUGAUGGUCCUCCUCAAAGUCUCAAAUUCUGUUUCAUGAUCCAGUGCUUGGCACUCUUGAACUGUACACACUAGGAGAUCAAAUCAGAGAAAAUUCUUUUAUUUUGUACAAGAAUACCCAUAGAGAUUGUAACCUACACACUUGAUAAAUCAAUAUAAAUAUUUAUUUUGUACAUGUAUUCUCGUUUCAUUUGUCGCGGGAUUUUCGUGUUUACAAAUUUGGCACACCUGGUGGGACCUCUCUACCUUUCAUCUCUUUCUCUGCCUCUCUACGUCUAAGUCUAAUGAAGUUCAUGAGAAACACAAGUCAGUCAUCACCCAUGAGAAGCACAGCAAACACGUGUCAAUUCCUUCACCACCAAAGCCGAAAACUAUCCACCAUGUGACACUACUCGUGGUCUUGACAUGCUUGAGAUCAAGUUGUGAUGGUCCUCCUCGAAGUCUCAAAUUCUGUUCAUGAUCCAGUGCUUGGCACCCUUGAACCGCACACACUAGGAGAUCAAAUCAGAGGAAAUUCUUUUAUUUUGUACAAGAAUACCCAUAGAGAUUGUAACCUACACACUUGAUAAAUCAAUAUAAAUAUUUAUUUUGUUCGUGUGUUCUUGUCUCAUUUGUCGCAGGAUUUUCGUGUUUACAAGUUUGGCACACCCAGUGGGACCUCUUUGCCUCUCAUCUCUUUCUCCAGUUCCAAACUCAAUCAAUUCACUAAAGCUGAUGGCUUCAAGUCUUUCUCGCGUGUAAAGGGAAGAGCUCGAGCGCUUAUACCAUAAGCAAAGCCUAUACUAGCACCGUAAGUCGAAGAAAUACGAAGACUUACCUUCCAGGCCAGCACACUGCUUCCAUGUCUCUCCGUCUAAGUCUAAUAGAGUCCAUGAGAAACACAAGUCAGUCAUCACCCUUACCUCGUUGGGGGCAAAGAAGGACGUCUUUCAAAGAAGGAGAGGUGCUCAUCAAGACUAAAGGAUUCAAUAAAGUAGCCAUUCUCACAUGUUCCUGAUGCCGACUCAAGGAUGGACGAAUACUACUGAUCAAAUUUAAUGUACUGGAGGGAGGCUUUGAUGAUGUACUCAGACUCCUCUAGCUCUUCAUGCUCCAUGAUUGUGCAAGUCAUGAUGGUAGAGGUCACUUCCAUUGAAGAACAACUUGUUUAGAUGGCCCAAGCAAUCCAAAAGUUGGUGAAGACCGUUGAAGAGAAUAGGACGCUUAUAAAUGAUUAACAUGCCUCUCUUAGGAAACUAACAGGAACCUGGGUCUACCUAAGGACGCUUUGUGGACUGCGUCUCCCUUAAGACUCUUAUAAAUGAUUGUCAUGCCUAUUUUAGGAAACUAACAGGAACCUGGGUCUUUCUUAGGAUACUCCUGGAGCAUCUUGCUUCCCCAUAAGGACUCUUUGAGGACUUCAUCUCCUUUAGGACACUUAUAAAUGAUUGUCAUGCCUAACUUAGGAAACUGACAGGAUCAUGGGUCUCCUUUAGGAUACUUCUGGCGCAUCUUGGGUCUCCCUAAGGACUUUUGUGGACUGCAUCUCCCUUAGGACGCUUAUAAAUAGCUGCUUCUCUUUGACACAUUUUUUUGAAUAAGAAACUGAACUUGCAUUGAUGUUUAUAUGAUUACAUUGCUUUAUUUGAAAUGGAAAUAAUUGGAUAAAUAACCUGGAAUUUCCAAUAGCUGCUUUUCUUUUUUAGAAGUGGGCAGGGCUCAAUCAUCUACAAGGAAACGAACUGGCAGGCAAAAGCUUCACGAGGAAUAUCUUUGAAAGUGGCAUGCAUUCCGUUGUCUUAGAAUCUCUUUCAUGAUGUCAAGUGUAUAACUUCCUCUGCCCCGGAUUGGUUGAUCACAUAAAGGCUUUCCCAAUUAGGUUUCAUCUUCUUUGAUCCUUGUUUUUGUGCUGUAAUGAAAUUAUUUCUAACUACAAGGUUGCCAGGUUGAAACUGUCUGACCUUGGCCAUUUUGUCAUAGUAAGACUUCAACUGCUGCUGGUAAGAGGCAACUUGGACAAUGGCUUUCUCGCGUUCUCCCUCGAGUAGGUCAAGGUUGAGUUUCAUUUGUUAUAAGUUCUUACCACUAUUACCCACCUCAAUGCUUAUGGAGGGGACAAUGAUGUGCGGAGGAAUGAUUGCCUCAAUUCCAAUACACGUACGCACGUAUUUCUCAUGUUUAAUACACGUAUUUUUUACAAAAAUUUCAGUAAGACACAAAAUUCACGUAUUCUACACGUAUCACUGUACUUUUAAAAAAAAAAAGGUAUAGCCGUACGGCUGUACUCAGUUUUUCCUAAUUGGUUUUCAAAAAAUUGUAUAACCGACCGGCUUUACCUCUUUGACACGUGGGCUUAGGCCAUGUGCGGGUCUAUAUAUAUAUAUGAAUUUUUUUUAAGAACAUAUAGUCGUGUGCGGCUGUACUCAUUUUUCCUUUUUAAAAAAGAAAAAAAAAAGAAAGAAAGGCUUAACUCUUUUGACACGUGGCAAAUAAGGGCUGGGAGCGUAUUCUUUUUCAAUAAAUUUAGGUUUUAGCCACAAAAAAACUUUCAAAUCAAAGACAUGCAAAUGUAAAGGAUUCCUUAGGAAAUCCAAAAAUAAGUAAGGGCAAUUUGGUCCAUUUUGGCUUCUUUUAAAAAUUUUCUCUCUCCUUUGGCCUUUUCCAAAGUUUCCCUUUUUUUUAAAGAUAGACAUAGUAUAGCCGCACGGCUAUACUCUUUUUUAUUUUUAAAAAUUUGUUUCUUUACUUUUGUUUUUUGGCUUACUUCUUUAAUUUACCAUACGUAAUCAAGUAAUAUCUUAGCCUUUUUUAAUCACUUUGCUUAAUCAUUAUAUUUUAAUUAUUAUUUAAUAUAAAAAGAUUAAAGAAAAAGAACACAAAGUAAUUAAUUUCUAUUUAUUAAGUCUUUUGUGAAAUCGUUUGGGUGUCUUAAUUCAAUUUCUCCGUAGCCCAAGAGCCCUAUCCAUUACAAUUAUGCCAUUACUUGAGUAACUAUCGUCCCUUUUUGAUGUUUUACUUUUCCAAAGUUAUUACCCGCAUAAAGAUUUUAGCACUUUCACAUUUGAUGACGUAUUAUACACGUACGCAAGUAUUUCUCAUGUUUAAUACACGUAUUUUUUUACAAAAUUUUCAGUAAAACACAUAGAAAUCACGUAUUAUACAUGUAUUACUGAAUAAAAAUAAUAUGUACUUUAAAAAAAAGGGUACAGCAGUAUGGCUGUACUUAGUUUUCCCUAAUUAUUUUUCAAAAAAUAGUAUAGCCGCCCGACUAUACUCGUUUUUGCAUAAAAAACGUAUAGCCGCCCGGCUUUACCUCUUUGAGACGUGGGCUUAGGCCAUGGGUGCGUCUUUAUAUAUAUAUUAGUAUAGCAGCCCGGCGAAACUAUUUUUUUGAAUUUAAAAAAAGUACAGCCGUGCGGCUGUGCUCGUUUUCCCUUUUUUUUAAAUUUAGAAAAAGGCUUUACUCUUUUGACACGUGGCACCUAAGGGCUGGGAGCAUCUUUUUUUUUUUUAAGAUAUACAUAGUAUAGCCGCACGGCUAUACUCUUUUUUAUUUUUAAUAUUUUACAAUAUAAAAUUUGUUUCUUUACUUUUGUUUUUUGGCCUACUUCUUUAAUUUAUCAUACGUAAUCAAGUAAUAUCUUAGCUUUUUUAAAUCACUUUGCUUAGUAAUUAGAUUUUCAUUAUUAUUUAAUACAAGAAGAUUGAAGAAAAAGAACACAAAUUAAUUAAUUUCUAUUUAUUAAGUCUUUUGUGAAAUCGUUUGGGUGUCUUAAUUCAAUUUCUCCAUAGCCCAAGAGCCCUAUCCAUUACAGUUAUGCCAUUACUCGAGUAUCUAUCGUCCCUUUUUGAUGUUUUGCUUUUCCAAAGUUAUUACCCGUAUAAAAAUUUUAGCACUUUCACGUUUAAUAAUGUAUUAUACACGUAUGCAAGUAUGCAAGUAUUUUUCAUGUUUAAUACAUGUAUUUUUUUACAAAAUUUUCAGUAAGACACACAAAAGUCACAUAUUAUACACGUAUUACUGAAUAAAAAUAAUAUGUACUUAAAAAAAAAAAAAGGGUAUAGCCAUACGGCUGUACUCAGUUUUCCCUAAUUAUUUUUCAAAAAAUAGUAUAGCCGCGUGGCGAUACUCGUUUUUGCAUAAAAAAGUAUAGCCGGCCGGCUUUACCUCUUUGACACGUGGGCUUAGGCCAUGGGGCGGGUCUUUACACAUAUAUAUAUAUAAUAGUAUAGCAGCCCGGCUAUACUAUUUUUUUGAAUUUGAAAAAAUAGUAUAGCCGUGCGGCGGUACUCGUUUUUCCUUUUUAAAAAAAAGGCUUUACUCUUUUGACACGUGGCACCUAGGGGCUGGGAGUGUCGUCGUUUUAAGAUAUACGUAGUAUAGCCGCACGGCUAUACUCUUUUUUCGUGGAGUAUAGUGGAGCUAGUCGCAUUUCCGAGAAAGAAAAGAUCAAAAGGUGUGCUUUUUCUUUUAAAAAAUGGGGAAAAAGAUGUCUUUGGGAGUGUUAGGACCCAAUUAAAGGAGUGCAAAGAAGAGCUGGAAUUACUGCAAUGUAUUAAUCCUUCGAAACAACAAAGUUAGAGGAAGGAGUUUCUUGAAAGGAAGAUUGAUGAUUUGCUGGAAAAACAAGAAGUUAUGUGGCAGCAGCGGUCAAGGGUGGGGUGGCUGAAAGAAUGGGAUAAAAAUACGAGUUAUUUCCAUGAAAAUGCAAAGGAGAGGACAAAGACUAAUUUCAUAGCAGGGGUGUAUAAUUCAAAGGGGAAAUGGUGAACGGAUAGGAGACUGGUAACCAAAAUUUUUAGUAUUUAUUUUCAGUCUCUCUUUGCAAAAACAGGAGGCAAUAAUAUGGAGGUGAUCACUGACAAGGUUAGUCCAAAAGUGCCUGAUCAAAUGAAGCAUUUUCUUAUUAAGCCUUACAACAAAAAUGAGGUUGAGUUUGCUUUGAAGCAAAUGCCUCCUUCAAAGGCUCCUGGAAUUGAUGGAAUGUUAGCUGUUUUUUUUUUUUUUUUCAGAAAUACUGGCACAUUCUUGGGGACGAAGUUGUUGAGGUAUGUCUAAAAAUUCUUAAUGGUCAGGAAAGUGUGAGAAGCUUGAACAAGACUUUGAUAGCUCUCAUCCCUAAAGUUGAAAAACCGGAAUUUGUGACUCAGUAAAGGCCAAUAUCUCUUUGCAAUGUGAUUUAUAAAAUUAUUUCUAAGGCUAUAACUAACAUAUUAAAGUGUGUGCUCCCAAUGAUUAUAUCUGAAAGUCAGAGUGCUUUUGUUCCAAAGAGGCAAAUUUCAAAUAACAUCAUUCUGGCUUUUGAAACAAUCCAUGCCAUGAAAUGUAGAAGGGGGAAAAAAGCUCCAAGGUUUGCUUUGAAGCUAGACAUGGCAAAAACAUAUGAUAGAGCUGAGUGGAAUUUCAUUUGUAAAAUGAUGGAGAAAUUGGGUUUCCCUGACGAGCUUAUUAAGCUGGUAUUUGAGUGUAUAUCUAUUGUUUCAUAUUCUUUGAUAAGGCAUGGAGCUGUGGAAGAUAAUAUUAUCCCACAAAGGGGGAUUAGACAAGGAGAUCCCUUAUCUCCCUAUAUUUUCCUCAUUUGUGCAAAGGGUUUCUCUACGCUUCUUAAACAGGCAGAGCUUUCUAGUGACAUAAAAGGGAUUGAAGUUGCAAGGGGGGGCCCUUUAAUAUCUCAUUUGUUUUUUGCAGAUGACAGCUUACUCUUUCUUGAAGCAACACCACAGGCCUGUAGAACCCUAAAGAGGGUGUUUGAGAUUUAUGAGAUGGCAACAGGGCAAAAAAUAGAUUUGGCUAAGUCUGCGAUUGCUUUCAGUCCAAACACUCCUGUGCAAUUAAGGAAUGAGGUGAGUAGCAUUUUAGCGAUCCCAAUUGUUGAGUUUCAUGAGAAAUAUUUGGGAUUGCCAACUGUGAUUGGUAGGAAAAAGAAGGAGUGUUUCAACAGAAUAAAAGAAAGAUUGAGAAAGAAGCUUAAUGGAUGGAAAGAGAAAUUACUUUCAAAAGCAGGAAAGGCUCUCCUUAUCAAAGCGGUGGCUCAGAGCAUUCUUGAUUAUGCUAUGGGAGUCUUUAAACUUCCUGUAACAUUCUGCGCAGACUUAAACUCAAUGAUUUCUAAAUUCUGGUGAAAGUGUUGAUGCUCAAAAUGGCCCGGUCAAUAGUGAGUCCAACUUAGUGAUUAGGUAUGCGGGGUCUUCAGCAGGGAAGAGAGCUGAGGCCCUUGGUGAAAUAUAGGUUGAUGGGAAACCUGCAGAAGACAAAGUGGGAGAAACAAUCGUUAAGCUUCGGACACCGGUGUGGUGCCGGCCGAAGGCUCUCCGAUGCCUAAGUCAGUUACAAGUAGUAAUUCUGGCAGAGUAACAGUAAAAGUGGGAGAAUAGUUGUCCUUUUUACCUGGGUACUGUUCCCUAUUUAUAGGGAAGUGAAAGUGGGAACUUUGCACAAAGUUCCAAUGUGGGACUUUGUGCAAGUCGUUGUGGUGGCGACACGUGUCCUGGAGAUUAGGUUUGGCAGUUGGGAGCUUCGGCAGGUGUCUGGCACCUCGAAAGUGUGUCUUCCUUCGGCAGGGGAGAAGGCGUGGCUGUCUUGGUGCUAGUCGCUUUGGUGCUGGGUCUGCUCGGUUCAUUAUGGUGUAAACAGUAGUCCCCCAAGUUCGCGGUCGAGAAGUAACUUCUGGGUUGGGAACUUGUGAGUUUUUGUAAUUGUAACCGAGCAUUCCAGCUUCGUUGGGAGUCGUAGGGCACUCCCUAGUCCCCCAAGUUGGCAAGCUAGGAGUUGCGUCAACACAUUGUAGCUGGGUACCUGGGUACUUGGGCAUGUUGCAGAUAAUAUGGGAGCUGGGUCCGUAGGGGAGCCGGACCUUCGAGGGAGCCGAGUCUUAUGGAAAAUUUGGACUUCCCAAAAUUUGUCCAUGGCCCUUGCCGUUCGGCAAGGGUCUAGCUCCUCUUUUUUUUUUUUUUUUGAAUGGCCGGGAGCUAGGCCAUCGAGGGAGCCGGGUCGUUUUUGAAAAUUUGGCUCUCCAAAAUUUCUCCAUGGCCCUUGCCGUUCGGCAAGGGUCUAGCUAUUUUUUUUUGUUGCUCGGGAGCUAGGCCUUUUUGGAUUGGGUCUUCGGCAAGGGGCUGGGGUUGGGCUCAAAGUGGGCUUCGGCAUGUGAGAAAGGCUAGGGUUUUGAGAUCCCUACAAAAUUUAUAUGAUGCAUUAUGCCGUUCGGCAAGUCUUCAUUCGGCAGCUUUGUAGAUUUUGGGAUUGGGAGGAAACAAAAACUUGGGAGAUUUGAACUUGCCGUUCGGCAGCAAGCUUGGGCGGCGCUUCGGCAGCAGGACUGGGCGGCGCUUCGGUAGCAAGACUGGGCGGCAGCAAGACUGGGUAGGCUUAAUUGGGUUGUGCUGUGCCGAUCGGCAGGGUUGGUCCGAGGAGGUGUUGCUGUGCUUAGAGCACAUCGGUUGUGGCUGGACCCUUGCCGUUCGGCAAGGGUGAUUAGGGAAGAGCUGUUGCGAGCAAGUGUGCGAGAUCCUUGCUGUGGCUUCGGCAUGUGGGCUGGGAUAUGAGCAGGGCUUGGUGUGAGCGAAGUCAGCGGGAAGAGAUGGGCUUCGGCAAUUGAUCUUGCCGUUCGGCAAAAGGUUGCCGAGAUAAAGUUGGAGCUGCCGAGAUCAGAUUGGAGCUGCCACUGGUCUUGCCGUUCGGCAAGAGGCUUGGCAGCGGCUGAGGUGUCCAGCGGCAGGAGGCUUCGGCAGGGCUGUGCGUCGGCUUCGGUAAGGCGGCUAGGAAGGUUUUCGUUGCGGCAGCUGGUUCUGCCAGCUGGGAGAGUUGCUCGGCAAGGUUGUAUGCUUCGGUAUGGCCUCAUUUCCCUCUUAUUUCAUGUUUGCAUAGCCCUUGCCGUUCGGCAAGGGUGCCUUGAGCUGAUUUUUAUUUUGACCGUUGUGUUUGAUCAAAGGUGAUAGGCCCGAGCGAAAUUGGAGCUAGGCCGUUGGCAAGAGCACGGCAGAAAAUAGCUGGGCCAAAAAAAUAGCUGGGCCGAAAAUAGCUGGCCUGAAAAAUAGCUGGGUGUGGAGAGUGGUUUGGCCGAAAAGGAGCUGGGUUUUCGUGCUCGCUUAGCCUCUCGAGCUAGACCGUCCAUAAGGCAAGUGAGUUUCCCGGGACUUGCCGUUCGGCAAGUCCAUCCAUGAUAUAUGUUUUGAAAUGUAUUUGGGUGCCUUGAUCAAAUUUGGGCUUAGCCUUGUAGUAGGAUUGGGCUUAUGAAAUAGGCUAGGACACUUGAAAAUAUGGGGACUCCAUUUUGUUUUUGCACGGGCCUUGUCGUUCGGUAAGGCCCCUAAAUUUCCCUAAAUUUUUUGUUUUUGGUUGUUUAUGUAUUUUGAAAAUUGAAUUUCAAAUGGUGUGUAGGUACAAGGGUUUUAGGAGGGAAGAUGAAAGGGUGCUAGGGUUUGCUCGUGAAUCGAGGCGUGGUACCCUUAGUUGGCUAUAAAAAGGAACUUGGGGUGGUGAAGGCACCACACUUGAGUUGAGAAAAUUUGUGAGAAAUUGAAGAAGAGGAGAGGCGAUUUCCGGCGAUUAGUUUGUGGUGGUGCUUGUGGCUGAGGUGAUUUCCGGCGAUCCAUUCGUGGUGCUACGAACAAGGUUAGACCUUAUUUCGCUAGAACUUUUGAAUUGAAAUGUCUUGUUUUGCAUGAACAUGUUGAAGGCUAGGAAGAACACAUUGAACAUGAGCAUGAACAUGAUGAACACGUUGAACAUAUGUAUGAACAUGUAGAAUUCUUGCCUGGCAUGAAGAUUUGGCAAAUUUUUGUUGUGGUGGUUCGAUCCUCUCCGCAUGUGCAUUAGUUCCUUUUUCUUGUUUGUGCAUAUUGUAGAUGUCUGAAAGUUCUGAUAGAGAAAGUCCUGACCCCCCUGCCUUUGGUGGGGAUGAUACUGAGAGUCAAGAGCCGAGCCAAUAUAUAUGUUCUGAAGAGGAAAGUUCAGAGACAGAGGGUAUGGUAGAAGGAACCAUAGAAAGUAGGAUGAUAGGGCCUGGGGGUGAGAGGGCUGAGCCAUCGGGAGACUCUGGGUCGGCUGCAUAUAGGGAGAUGCAGAGAAAUUAUAUAGAGUUAGAGGCUAUAGCAAAUCGGGUUCUAGCCUUGCCUCAAACGCAAGAAGUGGGUUCGAGCAACCAGGCAUCACUAUCAGGGUCUGUGGGUAUAGCCGUGGCUUCGGUAUUAGAGGGAUUAGACAUCCGGGUUGGUGUCUCGUUGCCGCGGCGGAAUACACUUACAGAAGCGAAAUUGGCCCAGCUACGAACAGAUUUUUGUGUGCCAGCCUAUGUGGGCUUGAGGUUACCCACUGAGGUCGAUGUAGUCAGAUAUCCUUCGGAUGGCUCCGUGAUGAUUUUUACAGAUAUGUAUCGGCACGGCUUCAGACUACCGUUUCAUCCGUGGGUUCAGAUGAUGUUGGCCAAGUUGGGGUAUGCACCGGGGCAGUAUAAUCCCAACUUUUGGAUUCUUCUUCAUGGGGUGUAUAUUGCCUGGUGGUUGGCUGGGUUAGGGGAGCCAACGUUUGAGCAAUUCAUGUACCUGUACUCCAUUUCGAAGCAGCAGGGGACUUUUGGCUGGGUACAGGCCAAUUGCCGAAAGGCGAAGGAGAGGGGUUAUUUUAUUGGACACAAGCUCACAACGCAAAAGCCCUGGAGGAACAGGUGGUGCAUGGCCUACGGGGACUGGGAGAGUCCUCUAGGGAAGAGCAUUGUCCAGCACAUUCCUACCCACUUCCAGUCGAUAGGUCCUUGGCCCCAUCCCUUAAGAUUGUCUAAUGCUUGAUUGUGUUGUCUUGGCUCCUAUUGUUGGGUCUGUAUUUUGUUUGUGCCAGUGUAAAUGGCUAAGUAGUUUCUAACUCUCGGUGCAGGUUCAGUGAAGUGGGGCCCUCUCUCCAAGGAGCAAGAAGACGAGGUUGAGUGGGUGAGGGCGCAGCUAUCAGAGACUGAGCGUGAGUGCGGGAACCUAGUCACGCAGAAGAAUUUGUUUGAGUCCGGACUGCUGCAAGGAAGUAAGUACCUGGGUUAUCUUUUUGUUGUGUGCUGAGCCUUUGUGAGUUUGAGUAAUAGAAUUGCUCUGUUUGUUUUGACAGUGGCUGGCAUCAUAAGGGGGAGCACGAAGGUGGCCGUAGACAUUGAUGAGGGCGAGAUGCAGAAGCGGCUGAGGGAGUCUCGGGCCAGGAAAGUUGAGAAGAGUGCUAGAAAACGACCAAGGGAUGAUGAUGAGGGUCGGGUCGCGGACGUGCUGGGGAAAAGGAAAGCCUUGGAGGAGGCUCAUCAGCAUGUGAUGGGGUCAGGGCCGAGACUUCCGCCCUUUGAUCUGCAGGCACCGCCGAAGCUACCCUUCGGCAUGGAGGACGUGUUCGCUGAAGGGGUAGAGAAGGUAGACUUCGGCAGGCUACGCCAGCAGAAGAAGGAGGUCAACCUGGCUAUGCACCGGCAGGAGGUGCCUUUAGUGAACGUCUUCCUGGAAGGCGUGAAGAGCGACCUUGAGGCUCUGGCGAGGACUCCAGCUUCUUCCUUCAUUGACCGGGCCCAAAAGACGAUCCUCACCUCUGCCUAUGUAAGUGUUUAGGCCCUUUUUGAAUGUAUUUGUGUUGGAUUAUUUUUGUGUGGAUUAACUAACAUGGUUUUUGUUUUGCAGGCCUUUGGCGAGAUGUACGUCAGCAUGGCCAAGGCUGACAAGGAGAUCCAGAGGCUGAAGAGGCGGGAUGAGCUAGCCAAGAGAAAAAUGGCGGAGGCGCAGGAGGCCAUCCGAGAGAAGAACGCCUUGCUGGUUCAAAAGGCGGCCCUGGCCAAGGAGGUGGAGGAGCUGAAGAGAUCGAAGGCCGAGGAGGUGGCUGCUGCCCGAGUCGAGGCGAUUGAGUCCUUCCGAUCCUCAGAGGAGCUGAAGAGCUAUAUCAUGGACCGACUGGCUGAUGAGCAGCUUCGCUGGGAAGAUAGGUUGGUUAGGUUCAACCCCUCGGUGGAGAUUAACUUUGACACCAGUGGCGAGCCUCCUGCACAGACCCUUCCUGCUGAUGCUAGCGCCCCGACACCAGAGGCUGAGUUGGCCAGUGAGGAUGCCCCGUCGACCGAGUCUUGAAGGCGUUGCCUUCGUUAUGUGUUAUAGUGAUUAUGUACUUUAGUGAUUGUGUUGGAACACUGUUUAUUUUGUUUAUGUAUGAACACUUAUCCUUGCCUGGAGCAAGGGUGUUUUGAUUUGUGAUAUGAGACUUGUGUGAUAUCAAUUGUGUUAGUAAAGUAAUAGCCAUGUGAAUGCAUGAAAAUGAGCCGGAGUCAGGCGUUUCAUUUAAAUAGGUGCCGAAAGGCAGAAGGUACAAGUGGUCUAGGGUCUAGAUACCUUACUUCUACCUUACAGUAAAUAAUCAAGACCAAAGUGUUGUCCUAGGGUCUAGAUAUGUUUACUUGUAAUAGUACUUGAGGUGGUCAGCAUUCCACGGGUGAGGCAGCGUCUUGCCUGUGGAAUCACGAAGCUGAUAAGUGCCGGGGCGGCAGAUUUUGAUAAUCUCAUAAGGACCUUCCCAUGUAGGGCCGAGGGUACCUUCGUUGGGAUUUUUGGUAGCCAAGGAAACUUUGCGCAUGACCCAGUCCCCCAUUUUGAAAGCACGGGGCUUGACUCGGGAGUCGUAAUAUUUGGCGAUCCGUUGUUUGUACGCGACAUUACGCAUGCUCGAUUGGUCCCGGAGCUCGUCAAUGAAGUCGAGGUUGAGGGCCAACUGCUCGUCAUUGGCCGUGGCAUCGUAAGUGGAGGUUCGGUAUGUGGGCUGGCUAAUCUCUACCGGAGCCACGGCCUCGGUUCCAAAUGAUAGGGAGAACGGCGUUUCACCCGUGGAUGUGCGGAAGGUGGUGCGGUAGGACCAGAGUACUUCUGGGAGUAGUUCUGGCCAGCAGCCCUUGGCUUUGUCAAGUUUUGUUUUGAGGGUCUUCUUGAUAAUUUUGUUCACGGCUUCGACCUGGCCAUUGGACUGAGGAUGGGCUGGGGAGGCGAAACACAGACGAAUCUUGAGGUUGGAACAAAAUUGUUUGAAUUUGGCGUUGUCAAAUUGCCGGCCAUUGUCGGUGACGAUGGAGUUGGGGAUGCCGAAGCGACAUACAAUGUUUUGCCACACAAAGGAUUCGAUGCGAGCUGCAGUGAUGGUGGCCAAGGCCUCGGCCUCAGCCCACUUGGUGAAGUAGUCUACGGCCACAACUGCAUACUUGACUUGGCCCUUGCCCUCUGGCAUAGGUCCAAUGAGAUCCAGUCCCCAUUGGGCAAAUGGCCAAGGGCUGACGAUGGCAGUCAACGGUUCAGCCGGGAGUUGUGGAAUGUUGGCAAAUCGCUGACACUUGUCGCAUUUCUGGGUGAAUUCCUGGGCGUCAGUGUGGAGCGAUGGCCAGAAGUAUCCUUGGCGGAUUGCCUUAUGGGCCAGCGAGCGUGCGCCCGAGUGGUUACCGCAUAUGCCUUCAUGGAUUUCUCAGAGGACAUAGUGACCCUCCUCUAGAGUCAGGCAUCGGAGGUAAGGAAGGCUGAAACCCCGCUUGUAUAAGGAGCCGUUAAUGAUCAGGUAACGGGCAGAGCGAUGGCGAACGCGUCGUGCUUAUGCCAGAUUAGCCGGUAGUGUUUGGUUCUGUAAGAACUGGAGGAUGGGGUCCAUCCACGUAGGGCUGUGAUCAAUAGUGCAGAUGAGUGGGGCUUGUGUGCUGGGCUGGGCCAAAAACUCGAUGUGGAUGUGGCGACCCAUUCCUUGCUCCAAGGAUGAUGCCAACCUGGCUAGUGCAUCGGCAUGGCUAUUCUCGGAGCGCGGCACUUGCUUGAUAGAGUGGGCGUGGAAGGUCGCCAGUAAGUGCCGAGCGUGCUGGAGGUAGGCCGUCAUAGAGGCAUCCUUAGCCGUGAAGUCCUGGUUGACCUGGUGGACCACGAGUUGUGAAUCGCUGAAUAUCUGAAUUUGCCUGGCGUCCAUCUCUUUGGCUAAUCGAAGACCAGCUAAGAGUGCUUCAUAUUCGGCCUCAUUGUUGGAGGCUUGGAAUUUGAAGCGAAGGGCGUACUCGAGGGCAACCUUGUCUGGGGAGAUGAGAACGAGGCCGGCCCCACAGACCUGGGCAUUAGAAGAGCCGUCUACGAAUAAGGUCCACAGAGGCUGGGUUAGGUCGAGAUUGCCUUCGGUGGGGGUUUGGUCCUGGCUGGGCGGGGGAUUGGGUUCGGUUAUGGGCUGGAUAGCUGACGAAGCUUGAGGCUCCGUGAAUUCGGAUAAGAAGUCAGCGACGGCCUGUCCCCUUAGAGCCGGGCGGGGUUUGUAAUGGAUAUCAAACUCGCCAAGUUCAAUGGCCCACUUAACCAGCCUCCCAGAAGUUUCUGGCUUCUGCAACACCUGUCGGAGCGGUUGGUUGGUUAAGACAUGGAUGGUGUGAGCUUGGAAAUAUGGUCGGAGGCGUCUUGCCGAGACGACCAGGGCGAACGCCAAUUUUUCGAUGUCCNNNNNNNNNNNNNNNNNNNNNNNNNNNNNNNNNNNNNNNNNNNNNNNNNNNNNNNNNNNNNNNNNNNNNNNNNNNNNNNNNNNNNNNNNNNNNNNNNNNNGCUAACAGCCGAAGCUGAGAUGGAGAGAUAAAUCACGAGGAUGUCUCCGUGCUCAGGGGUUGACAAUAAAGGGGCCCGGCCCAUAUACUCCUUGAGCUCGCUGAAAGCCGUGUCGCAUUCAGCAGUCCAGGUGAUGUUUCUUUUGGUGCCUUUAAGGGCCUUGAAGAAUGGGGCGCAGCGGUCAGUGGCUUUGGAGAUAAAUCUGGUCAGGGCUGCGACACGCCCUGUAAGGCUUUGGAUAUCUUUGACCGUCUUAGGUACCGUCAUGUCUAAGAUGGCCUGGAUCUUUUCUGGAUUGGCCUCAAUACCCCUCUGGCUGAUCAUGAAGCCCAGGAAUUUGCCGGAAGCCACCCCGAAUGCACAUUUGGUGGGGUUAAGCCUCAUUUUGUACUGCUUCAGGAUGGUGAACAUGGCAGAGAGGUUAGGGAUGUGUUGGUCAGCUGUGCGACUUUUGACUAGCAUGUCAUCGACAUAGACCUCCAUGGUAUUGCCAAUCAGUGGGGCAAAGAGCUGAUUCACCAGACGCUGAUAAGUAGCCCUGGCGUUUUUGAGGCCAAAGGGCAUCACCUUAUAGCAGUAGAGGCCGCGGUCCGUAAUGAAAGAGGUGUGGGCCUGAUCUUCGGGGUGCAUGAAGAUCUGGUUGUAACUUGAAUAAGCAUCCAUGAAGCUAAGGAGGGCGUGGCCGGCUGUGGCGUCGACUAGCUGGUCAAUGCGGGGUAGCGGGAAGCUGUCUUUUGGGCAAGCCCGAUUAAGGUUGGUGUAAUCGACACACAUGCGCCAGCCCUUUCUUGGCUUGCGGACCAUCACGACAUUAGCCAGCCAUGUAGGAUAGUCAACCUCCCUGAUGAAUCCGAUGCUACUCAAUCGAUCCACCUCCGCCCUCGUGGCCUCAUAGCGCUCGGGAUCAUAAGCGCGACGCUUCUGUCGGACUGGUCUGACGGCAGGAUUGACGCUAAGCCUAUGGGAUAUGAUGUCUGGUGAUAUGCCAGACAUGUCAUUGUAGGACCAUGCGAAGACUUCGGAGUUGAGGCGGAGGAAGGCGACCAGGUCAGAGAGAAGCUCUGGCGAGAUGGAGGUGCCGAUCCGGACUUGUCGAUCCGGGAUAUCGUCAUGGAGGGUAACCAGCUCCAGGUCCUCCAUAGGUUCGGCCUGUGGUGCGAUGGACUCCUCCCUUGGGUCUUCAGGUGGUUCUGUGCCAGCUUGAGGAGGGGCGGGAGCCUUGGUUACUACUAGGGCUUCACUCCUAUGUUGGCGAUUGGUGGAUUUGACGGCUGAAGCAUAGCAGCUUCGGGCUCCGAGUUGGUCGCCGCGCACCGUGCUUGGGCCAUUAGGAGUGGGAAACUUCAACAGCAGCAUAUGCGUGGAAAUAAAAGCCCUCAUUUGGGCCAAGGCUGGGCGGCCGAGGAUGACGUUGUAGGCUGUGGGGCAAUCGACGAUAAGGAAGGGGGUAGUGAUCGUCGUCCGCUGGGGUGCGGCCCCAAUUGAGAUAGGGAGAUGAAUGCUGCCGAUGGGCUGGACCACAUCACCCGAGAAGCUCACAAGGGGUGUGAUGCUUCGGUCGAGUAGGUGAGGCGGGACCUGGAGUUCAUUGAAGGCCUCGGCAAACAUCACACUAACCGAGCUGCCAGUGUCCACCAGGAUACGCCCAACGUCGAAGUUAGAAAUGUCAGCCCGGAUAAUGAGUGGAUCGUCAUGGGGGAGGAUAACACCACGCUCCUCCUCCUCGUAGAAGGUAAUGGGGGCCCAGCCAGUCUGUGGGUCUUUGGCAAGCGUCCCUGCUCGGUGCUGAAGACCUGGUGCGCAUAGGUGGAGCGGACAUAAUGUUUGAUGGAGUUGUUGGAGGUGCCAGCCAGGGUAGGACCUCCGCUGAUGGUGGAGAUCAUGUUGAUUUGUCGUUGGUGAGGGUUAGGCGGGGCUGGUAUGUUGCGCACAUAGUUGUCCAGCUUACCCUCCCGGAUGAGCCCUUCAUUUAUGUUGCGCAACGCAACACAAGACUCGGUGUCAUGGCCGCUGAAUUGAUGAAAGCGGCAGAAGACCCCCGUGUUUGGCAUAGGCUUGUGGAUGGUCUCGGGGGGGGUGGGUUUGGGGAUGAUGGGGGCUUCACNNNNNNNNNNNNNNNNNNNNNNNNNNNNNNNNNNNNNNNNNNNNNNNNNNNNNNNNNNNNNNNNNNNNNNNNNNNNNNNNNNNNNNNNNNNNNNNNNNNNCUCGAACCUGGGCCUGGGUGUGAAGGGAAGAGGGGCCCGAUCACCAGGCCUAGGAGGGUUGCCUCCGCUAGAGUGGUGGUGGUUGCCAUGUCUGCCACGUUUGUUAUUACUGAAGGGAUGCUGGUAGCUAUCCUUCCGCUUAUGUUGUUGGUUGUCCUGGGCACUCGGGGCAGGGGUAGAAUGCUGAGGUGGGGCUGGGGCGGGUGCUGAAGCAGGUGGAGGGUCGGCGAAAGUGUUGCGCGCCAGAUUGGCUGGGCCACGCUUGGAAUUGAGGUAUUCAGGCUUAGCAUGGAUCGCCGCCUGCUUCAUCAGCUCUGCAUAUGUGUUCCAACUGUUGCUAUGAACCAGGUAGCGGAAGUUGGACUCGCGAAGGCCGCUCUUAAAAGCGCCGAAGGCAGCGCGAUCGUCAGUGUCUGGGCAGCGGGAGUACUCAUGACUAAACCGAGCUGCAUAUUCCCGAAGGGGUUCGUCCUCAACCUGCCUAAGCAUAUACAAGUCGUCAGCAGAGUAUAGGCGAUCAAUCUGGAUCAUAAAAUGGUCCAGGAACGUCUGCUUGAGACUAUCGAAGGUGGAGCCUGUAGAACCAAUUCAGGGCCGCGCCGCUGAGGGUGGAAGGGAAAAGGAGGCACAUGCCUUCAUCGGUGAGGCCUUUGCACCCAAAGGCAGACUGGAAGGAGUGGAUGUGGGUGAGAGGGUCCUCCGUGCCAGUGUAGAAAGCGAUGCGGAGUGGCUGGAUAUCUUUCUCCUGGUGGUAAUGGAGGAUGCGUUCGGUAAAGGGCCCUGGUCGUGGUUUUGCCCAAAGGGGUUGAUGGCUGCGAUGUUGUUCGCUUUCCAGGCGCCGGACCUUUUCAAAGAGAAGCCUCAUGGCCGGGUCGGCAUGAGGAAGAGUUUCAGGUGCCAAAGGCUUGGGGGCGGGGCAGACAGGGACUGGGGAUUGUUCCCAAUUUUCCAGCGCCUCGGUGUGGUAAUUUGGCCAGGUCUCUGAAUUAUAAAAUUCCCAAGUAUCCGAGUCCUCGACACCUUCCUCGUCGGGUAUGCGGACGGGGGCUGCGAGGGGCCCAGGUGUGUCACCCGUGGGUCUUCGAGGUUGACAGGGAUAGGGAUCGGCCUUGGCUGACGGUCCGAGAGGCGAUCCCUGCAAUCUUGGUAGAUCCUGACUGGUUCAUGGGGCCGGUCCCUCGGUGGGGGAACGCAAAGGGGUCGUGACUGGGUUAUCUCCGGAUGAAGGUGGUCUUUACCCUUGCGGAGCCUAGCUUGGGCCGAGGCACUGUGGCUGGAAUGUACUGGCUGGUUCGGCUGAAUAAGCCCAACGUUCUGGGUGAGGUCUUGCUGGGCAUCCUGGGUGUGAGUCCUUUCCCAAUUCCGCUUUAAAACACGGUAGUCAUGUUCUAGCUCAACAUUCCUGCAAUGAAGGUGCUCGUAUUUUUCCGACAUUUUAGUGACACUGUCGCGGAGGCGCUCCACUUCUGCCUGGAGAGUGGCAUCUUCCGAAGAUUUCCUUCUAGAAGUACCAUCGCGGGGGGUAUGAUGCUGGGUAUCGCGGCUAUCCUCGGUCGGCAUAGCGGAAUAUGGGGUGAAGAAGAGGCGACGGGGCCUGAUGGGUGAAGGAGCCAGCUGGGCUGAUAGAGAAAGAGGGGAUUCAAGUGUCGAAUUUCCACAGACGGCGCCAAACUGUUGAUGCUCAAAAUGGCAUGGCCAAUAGUGAGUCCAACUUAAUGAUUAGGUAUGCGGGGUCUUCAGCAGGGAAGAGAGCUGAGGCCCUUAGUGAAAUAUAGGUUGAUGGGAAACCUGCAGAAGACAAAGUGGGAGAAGCAAUCGUUAAGCUUCGGACACCGGUGUGGUGCCGGCCGAAGGCUCUCCGAUGCCUAAGUCAGUUACAAGUAGUAAUUCUGGCAGAGUAACAGUAAAAGUGGGAGAAUAGUUGUCCUUUUUACCUGGGUACUGUUCCCUAUUUAUAGGGAAGUGAAAGUGGGAACUUUGCACAAAGUUCCAAUGUGGGACUUUGUGCAAGUCGUUGUGGUGGCGACACGUGUCCUGGAGAUUAGGUUUGGCAGCUGGGAGCUUCGGCAGGUGUCUGGCACCUCGGAAAUGUGUCUUCCUUCGGCAGGGGAGAAGGCGUGGCUGUCUUGGUGCUAGUCGCUUUGGUGCUGGGUCUGCUCGGUUCAUUAUGGUGUAAACAGAAAGAACUCAGAGUGUAGCAAAGGUAUUAGUUGGGCAAAGUGGGUGCAUUUGUGUUUUGCAAAGGAUGAAGGUGGAAUAGGGUUUAGAGAUCUGGAGUCUUUCAACAAAGCGCUUGUGGCUAAGCAAUGUUGGAGACUUCUUACCAAUGAACAGACCAUGAUUCAUAAGGUGUUAAAAGCUCAAUAUUUUCUAAAUUGUAAUUUUUUGGCAGCUGGUAAAGGAAGAGCUUCUUCAUAUAUUUGGAGGUCUUUGAUUUGGGUUGUGAGUUGCUCUUGAGUGGGUUAAGGAAGAGGAUUGGAGAUGGACAAGAAACACUAGUCUAUGGUGAUGCUUGGAUUCCUAGACCUAACUUUUUCCGCCCUAUUUCCUUUCAAGUGUUGGAUCAAGAAACUAAAGUAAGUGAUUUUAUUUUUCCCAUUGGGAAUUAGAAUGUUGAUUUACUAAAUUUGUGUUUUCAUGAGGAAGAUGUUGAGUCUAUUACAUCUAUCCCUUUGAGUGUUAAUUAGCACAAAGAUGGAUGGAUUUGGCAUUAUACUACUAAUUGAAUUUAUUAUGUGAAAAGUGGAUAUAGGCUGGAUAUGUCAAAGAAAAAGGAAUGCAGUGGGGCUGUUGGAUCGUCUUCGGAACCAAGAAUACGAAGUGUUUUCUGGAGAAAAGUUUGGUCCAAAGAGGUACCAGAAAAACUCUUAUAUUUUAAUUGGAGAGCUAUUAAAAAUUAUCUUCCUUGUAGAUCUAAUCUGCUGAAAAGGAAAAUAAUUUCUGAUGACUCUUGCCCUAUUUGUAAUGUGAAUUCUGAGAGUGUAAUUCAUGCUUUGUGGAGUUGUCCUAAUGCCCAAAAAGUUUGGAAAAAAGUGAUGUUCAGGGAGGUUUUUACAGGGCUACACUUUUACAACUACGGGGAUUUGUUUGAAAUUGCCACUAUGUAUCUUUCAAAGUAUGAAAUGCUCUUGUUUUUAUAUAUCUGCUGGAAUUUAUGGCAAAACAUAAAUAAAGUUGUUAUUGAAGGUCGUUCUUAUGCACAAAAUGUGAUUUUCAACAGAGCUCAUUACUUGGCUGAUGAAUAUAGAAGUCUUGUGAAAGGGGAACCUAAAUUAAUUGUAGAGAAACAAACCAAAUGGUCUCCUCCUCCGGUUGGUAAAUAUAAACUGAAUGUUGAUUCUGCUUUUAUUCCCAAAACAGGUGUGGGUGGAAUUGGUGCUGUUGUUAGAAAUAGGGGUGUAAGUUGGAUUGGAAAAUCCGAUUCCGGUCCAAAAUUUUCACAAAAAAAUUCGACUCCGAUAAAUCCGAUAUCCGAUAUUUCCGAUAAAUGCCGAAAAUUCCGCAAUUCCAAUACGAAAAUAUUCCUAAGUUCUCCAAACCCAUUCUGAAUCGAUUUUUCCAAUUUUUUCCGGAAAAUUCCGAGUUUCUAAUUUUAAUUGCAUUAUUUUUAGUGUAUAGGUCUUAUAUAUGUUUCAUUUCUCUUAUUUGUUAUCUUUUUGUACCCACCACAUACAAAUAUUCAUAUAUACUAUCAUAGGGGCUCUCUCUCCCAAAAAAAAAUAAACAUAAUAAUUUAUAACUUUAAGAUUAUAUUUGACAAAUGUGCUUGUUUCUUUUUUGUUGGAGUAAAUGUGCUUGUUUGAAUAUAACAAAAAUGCAUAUGUGUGAUUGUUAUAUCCAAACCUACUACAUACGUGGUAAACUAUUCCAUCUAUGUACGUAUUUUAAAAUUUUAAACCAUCUUCAUUCAAACUUUUAAUUAUAAAAUUAUUUUAUACAAAACACCACAUAUAAGAUAAACAUAUUGGAGCUUGACAAUUAUAGUGUUCCAAUUGUCUAGAGCAAGACUAACAUAUUCAAUGCAAGUUUAUCACUCUUUACACACAUAACAUGUAACUAUUUUGAUUAAGAAUGAACAAAUAGUAUAGAUUGAUGUAUAUACAUACAGAGAGCUUUAGGAUUCGAGAAUGCGUUUGAUAGGUUAAUUGGACAACAAUUUUAUAAAACAAAAACAAUGAAAAUGUGAUAGUACAAUUUGAGAAUAAGGGAAAUAGAAAUGCUGCAUCAUGUAUCAAUAUAUAUGAACUACUUUUUUUUCAUCCAAAUUUAUAUUAACUACUUUUUAAAGACAUUUGUGUUCAUGUCUCAUCUAGAAAAAAGGAAUGUAAUUUAAAAAAAAAAAAGAAUAAAAAAUUUAUCCUGUAAAUAAAAUAUAGUUUAAAAAUAUAAUAAUAUUCUAAAUCUUUAAAAAACACCUAAAAUUAUCUUAAACGAAAAACCCAUAGGGUCAGAAACAAAAACAAAAAAAACCCAUCUGGCACAACCCCACCUCUGCCAUUAUCUUUAACUCUCUCUCUCUCUCUCCCAAACGCACCCAUGUGCACCUCCACUCUCUUUUUUCCCCAGUUCUAUUUCUCCCCCUUCGCCUCUUCUUUUUUCUCCAGGAAAGCCUCUUAAUUGGUAUCAAAAUUCUUCACUGUGGAUGGUUAAUUGGGAACAAUUUUUUGUACUAUAAUUUUACAAUUUGGAAGAAAUUGAAACAUCAAUUGAAUUCACUAAUACAAGUUCGAGGGUACAUGAUUACUGUAACAAUUAGGUCAAUGAUGACAAGAGGAAGAAGAUGGCAUUCUUGGGUUUCUUGAUAAGUUGGGUCUAGGAGAUGGGACUUUCAAGUUUCAACGCUAGUGUUGUCUUGAGUUUUGAUGGAGACAGACUGCGGGGAUGGAGUGCAAACCCAGAAAAAGAAAAAAGCAAGAGAAGAAACAGUAGAGAUAAAGAAUUGAAGAAUGAUUUCUUUUUUGGUUCGAGAAGUGUUUAUUUUGUUUUACUAAGGGGAUCAGUACAUAUUGUUCCAUAUCUGAAGAGGUUAAGUAAGAAAGAAAAUGAAGGUUGGCAUUCAUGGAUUAGACAUGAACAGUAGAGAGAAGAGAAGUGAUGGGGAGUAACUAAGUAGAAAUCAAGAAAAGAGUAGAGAGAGAAGUUGCAGUUCUAUUUUUGCUUGGAGUCCCACAUUGACUGCAAGAAUAAACUUCAAGUGUUUCAACCUUUAUAAAUAUCUUCACCCUCAGCCAUUUUACGUAUAGACCUAAAGCUCUACAUCUUUGGGCUUGUCAAGUUAUAGUUCAAUGGAGCUAGUUAUGAAACUCCUAAGUUGGGCAUUAUUAAUAAAAGUUUAGUUGAGAUUUUUACUAAUGUUAAAUUAGGCAUUUAAAUCUCUUAAUAUUUCAUUUUGUCAAGGAAGAAUACAACAUUUCAGAAUCGGAAAGUUCCGAAAAUUCCAGAAUUUUUCGAAAUUGGAAUCGAAAGUCUGUAUUGAAUUCCGAAAGGUUUUGGAUUGAAAUUGGAAUCUCUAUUUCUGAUCCGAUCCGGCCGAAUUACACCCCUAGUUAGAAAUGACAAAGGGAAAGUGAUGGUGGAUAUGACCCUUCGUCUUGCCACUGCCACCUCAUCUAAACAUGCAGAGAUCAUAGCGCUUCGUUUCGGGAUGAAAUUUGCUCGGGAUGCUGGCUUUUCUUCUAUUCUAAUUGACUCUAAUUCUCAAGGGGUGGUAAAUGAUGUAAAGAAGGAUGAGGAAGAGUCGUGGGCAUCAGAUGGGCAUCUUAUUGAUUAUAUUAAAAGGAGUCUGCAACACUUUGAAGAAGUUACUAUCUCUUUUAGUCCAAGAUGGUGUAACCAAGCAGCUCAUUUUCUAGCAAGACAUGCUCUUAAUUGUAAUACUAUGGUAACUUGGAUUGAAGAGGUUCCCUUCUGGCUGAAAUCAAUUGUAAAAAAUGACAUUGUUGUAUCCUCUUAUUAAUUAUUAUGAAUGAGAAUGAGUUCUUCUUUUGGAAAAAAAAAAAGAAAAGAAAAAAAGAAGUUCUAAUCGUACACAUGCAAAUCAGAGCAAAUUUACCCUUUUUUUUUUCUUUUUUUUUUUCUUGAAAUGCUGAAUUCCAAUUUUUUUAUUUUUUUAUUUAUGUUUAGGAACCUGUAUAUCGGGAGUAAGCAGUGACCAAACCAACCAUAGGACGACAUGAACGACGAUCAAAGUCUCAGACAGGAUCUGGACCCCCAAAGCGACCACAGCUCCGACUACCUCCCUCACCACCCCCACCAUCCCUCCCACCCUCUCCAACCCCAACAACAACCUCAGCCUCAGCCCCGCCGACCUCGUGGCUUCGCCGCCACAGCUGCCGGGUCCGUGGGCCCCACCAGUCCCUCCACCCCCACCACUAAUAAGGGCAAGAGGGAGAGGGAGAGGGAGAAGGAGCGCACGAAGCUUCGAGAACGGCUCCGUCGAUCCAUCACGAGCCGGAUGCUCGCCGGCCUCCGUCAGUACGGCAACUUUCCGCUGCCUGCGCGUGCAGAUAUGAACGAUGUCCUCGCAGCCCUCGCACGUGAGGCCGGCUGGGUUGUCGAGGCCGACGGCACCACUUACCGCCAAUCUCCCCCUCCCUCCCAAAUUGUCUGUACAUUUCUAGUUUCUAAUUUCUCAUUGUUCUUCUUUCUGUUUUUAACUUUAUUUAAAGGAAUAAUAAAAAUUAUUAUUGUUAUUUGAAAUUGGUGACAGGCAAUGGGCAUGAGGUCGGUAGAGAGUCCAGUUUCAUCAGGUGUUAGAGCAACAAAAUCACUGGAGUGUCAUCCUCCUCACAACCCAUCAUCAGUUGUGAGAAUUGAUGAGAGCUUGUCACCAGCAUCUCUUGAUUCUGUUGUGAUUGCAGAGAGAGACACCACCAAGAAUGAGAAAUUUUCAAGUGGUGGAAGCCCCAUCAACUCUGUUGAGGCUGAUCAGCUCAUGCAAGACCUUCCCAUCAGACCUGGUAACCAUGGCAUUGGCACCACUGCUUUUUCUACACCCAAUCCCUAUGUUCCUCUCUAUGUAACACUUGCAGUAAGUAAAUUCUUCAUCUUUUUUUUUUUUUUUUUCUGCGCUUUCUGACUGCUGAUUGUCAAAUUCUAAGACGAACCAUGUUUAUUUUGUUUUCAGAUAUUUGUAAAUCUAGGUUUUUUAAGUGAUACAAUUCUUGGGGCUUGUUUGGCAGACUGGGUUCAUCAACAAUUACUGCCAGCUGGUUGAUCCUGAAGGCUUAAGACAGGAGCUAACUCAUAUGCAAUCUUUAAGUGUAGACGGUGUUGUCGUGGAUUGUUGGUGGGGUAUUGUUGAAGGAUGGAGCCCCCAGAAAUAUGUUUGGUCUGGUUAUAGAGGUCUUUUUAACAUUCUCCGGGAGUUCAAGUUCAAAUUGCAGGUACUUCUCUCUGAUUCAUUGAUAAAGCUUAGGGAAGCGUAAAUUAUUUUGAAUAGCUGAACCAUCAAAAUUAAGCUUAAUAAAAUUUGGAUUAAAAGGUUUCCAUUUAAUAUCACAAGGCUUAGUAUCAGCAAACAAUUUGAGUGAUGCAUAUGAUUAGUCAAACACAUGUUGAACUUGUCUAAGACUUAUCCGAACACAUGUAUGUCUAAACUGUUCUUAAAUUUUCAUGGAUAAUGAACCAAAAUUAUUGAUAUCUUCUCCAACAGGCACUCAAAGGAGCACACAUGAAUUUAACAAGUAGGCAUAAUUGGAAAUUUACAUCAGUUCUCUCUCUCUCUCUCUCUCUCUCUCUCUCUCUCUCUCUCACGCACACACACACACACACACACAUCUUUUUCUGUUCUUUUUCCCCUCUAAUUGAUAAAAUUAUAUUCAAUGUAUCAGAGCCUCUAAUUUUCCUUUUCUUUUGUUUACUGAGCGCACAAGGAAACUUGCUGGGAAUUUUAAAUUCCUUAGUUUCCAUUCUGUGUUAAUUUAAGGCCAAGAUAAUGUUGUUUCAGAGAAAGUUUAAGCAUGUCACAUAGAAAUGGAGCUAUCCAGAUUCUUAAUGUAUUGGAUGGUCAAAAAAGCAGUGCAAUUUAAUUUUUUUUCUUCAAAUAGGACGAAUCAAAUUAGAUGACAGUUGGGUUUAUGAAACUUUUGUCUCUUGGAGGUGCUUUUUUUUAUUUUUUAUUUUGUCAUGUGGUAAUGUUGGUCUAUGUUUUCCCAAAAAUGUUGUGGAGUUUUUAACUAUUAUAUCAUCAUAAUCUAUCAGGAUUUUGGUCCUUGAUUAAGGAAUAUAAAUGUAAGUUUCAGUUUGUGGCAACUCCUUUAUAGAGCCAAACUUAUGGGAGGCUCUGUCAAGCUCAUUUGUGUAUGAAUGCAUAUAAUUCUUGUAGGUGAUUAUGAGCUUGUAUACUGUCUAAGUUGUGGGCCAGAAAUUUUUUAUAUCUGUUAUUCAUGCUGUAAAAUAGCUACACCUAUGAAGACAUUUCUAUUUUCAGAAUACUUUCAAGUUUUCUUGCAGUAGAUUGAGUGCUUGAAAAUGCAUCACUGCUUAGACCUUUCACUCUUCCACUGCAAUCUCCUAUGGUUUCAAACAAAAGAAUGUAUUUUGUUAAGAUGCAUUCUUGCUACUUCCUAAUCUUGUAACCCAAGGAAGUUUUAAUUUGAAUAGGUUCUUAUUCUAUAUUGGAGAAUCUUGCACGCUGUUGAUGAAUGGUUUCUGAAAUCAUUUUGCUGAAGGUUGUAAUGGCAUUUCAUGAAUAUGGAAGAAGUGAGUCCGGUGAAGCCCUGAUCCCUCUUCCACAGUGGAUCUUAGAGAUUGGUAAGGAAAACCAGGACAUAUUCUUUACAGAUCGAGAAGGAAGGAGGAACACUGAAUGUCUAUCUUGGGGCAUUGAUAAAGAAAGAGUUUUACAUGGAAGAACUGGUGUCGAGGUAUGAAAAUAUCUGAAUGAUGUUGAGGCAUUCUGUCUUUUACGCUUGGACCAUGAGAUUAUUGCGUCCAUGUUUUGUUUUGUUUUACUGUUUCAUUUAUGCUGUCCUCCAUUAUAUGCCCCUAUGCCAUUUCAUUGUUUAUAUGGUUAAUUGUUAACUCCUUUUUUUGUUUAUUUUCUGUUGGGCCUACUUUUGUCAGUUGAAACUUAUUUACUUAUUGUUUCUGUUGUUCUUUGCUUUCUUCAUGCAGGUCUAUUUUGAUUUUAUGAGAAGUUUUCGCACUGAAUUUGACGACUUGUUUGCUGAGGGUCUUAUUUCUGCUGUGGAGAUUGGGCUUGGAUCAUCUGGGGAGCUUAAGUAUCCUUCCUUUUCAGGAAGGAUGGGAUGGAGGUAUCCUGGUGUCGGUGAGUUUCAGGUAUCUAUUAAAGCUAAACCAUAAUAUUUGUUGAAAUUAUUGUGUAUCCACUUAGAGUCUUUUCGUCCGUGUAUUCUGCAGUUUAAAUUAGACAAGAAAAGGCUUUCUAUUUCCUCACAGGUCUUGAUUCACUAUUUUAUUUCACAUCAGUUUGGAAGUAUUCCCUCUUUUCCUUCCAUCUUUCCGUCUUUAAAUAUGAUAUAAUGGCAAAGAUGGAGAAAGUAUUGUUUCCUUCAUGUUGCUUCAACUUUGUGGCAUUUAUUUACUGCAUUUCGUUUGUUCCUGAGAAAGUAUUGUUUCCUUCAUGUUGCUUCAAAUUUUAGACUCUGCAUUGCAAUUGUUUUGAAAUUUAUUAAUCACUUGUUUGCAGUGUUAUGAUAGAUAUUUACAACAAAGUCUGCGGCGAGCGGCUAAAUUGCGUGGGCACUCAUUCUGGGCCAGGGGACCUGAUAAUGCUGGUGAAUACAAUUCUCGGCCGCAUGAAACUGGCUUCUUUUGUGAGCGCGGUGAUUAUGAUAGUUAUUACGGGCGCUUUUUCCUUCAUUGGUAUGCACAGUCACUAAUUGACCAUGCGGAUAAUGUACUGUCUCUUGCAAGCCUUGCCUUUGAUGAAACCAAAAUAAUUGUCAAGGUGUGUAUCUGGCCCUUUUUUCCCCACUGACUAGCUAUGAUUCACUAACUAUGCGUUUGGAUGGAAGGAGUGGAAGGGAAAAAUAGGUGGGACCAUAGGUUCCCUUGUUUUAGUCAAAAGGGUGGUGUGCAUUGGUUAUAAAGGUGUAUAUUGUUUUAGUCGUUCAUAAUUUGAAAUCCCUACUUCACCAAUCAACUUAUGAGAGAAAAUGAAGGAUGUACCACUCUCCCUUAUAUCAGUUUAACUUAAAAACUCCCAAACAUACUGUAAGUGACACCAUCAAUGCCCCUAAUAAAAUCCAUAAUUUGGUUCUUGUACUCAUGGAUGAUGAAUCUGUCUUCCUCUUCCUUUACGCUUGCUUCUGACCAGUAUAGGACACCGAUACAAAGGCAACGAAGAGUGGCCUGCAUACGACCCGGAAUUUUAUGUUUGAACCAGAUUUUGGGAUGUUGAGAGAAGUUGGUGUUAUACUGUUUCAUGAUGAUGAUUCAUCAACUUCAGUUUCCUUACAAGCACGCACAUGUUGGUGUACUUGAACAUCUUUCAUCGUGGCUCAUGACUCCUAAAACUAUACAACUCUGCCUGUCUAGAUGAUGUUAGGCAUUUAGAAUUCCGUUUAUGCAUGAAUUGGUGAUGAUUUCUUAUGAUAUUCCUUUAGUCUCAAAAUCCAGCAUAAAAGUAGUAUACAGAUUAGUUAUGUUCAGUCUAGUCGGACCAACCUAGAAAUGGCAUAUAGGUACGUUACAUUGAGAAAUCCCAACAUCAAGCCUAGAAAUAGUAUAAUGAUUUGUUAUACUUAAACUGUCUGAUAUUCAUUGACAUUGCUGUAGUGGUGUGUGCCGAGAACUGAACCAAGGGGAUGCAUGGUCGUGAUGUUCUUAAAGUCCUAUCAUGGAAUUGUUAAAUAAUGAAAAAAUAAUUAAAAGAUGCAAAUGUGCAGGUUCCUGCAGUCUAUUGGUGGUAUAAGACUUCCAGCCAUGCAGCCGAGCUAACUUCUGGGUACUAUAACCCAACAAACCAGGAUGGGUACUCUCCAGUUUUUGAAGUUCUGAAGAAACAUUCAGUGACAGUGAAGUUUGUUUGCUCAGGACUGCAUAUAUCGAGUCAGGAUAAUGAUGAAGCACUGGCUGAUCCAGAAGGUUUGAGUUGGCAGGUGAUGGCCCUUGCUCAUGCCCCUUCUCUUUGAGCUCUGUAGCUGUUUAUAGUGUCAGUAUUGCUAGUGGCUUUGGUCAAUGCUGAGUGAACCCUAGAAUUCCCUGAUGUUUGAAAGGCAACAACUCAGUAUGAAUUGUCGAACUAGGCAGUUUUAAAUAUAAUUUAAAAAGUAUGCUUAAUGACGUGGAUAUGUUUAUCUGUAUUCGAUUUGAGUGACGCUAGCUUCUCAUUUGUUCCUGCAGGUUUUAAAUUUAGCCUGGGAUCAAGGAUUGCUUGUAGCUGGUGAAAAUGCACUUUCAUGUUAUGAUAGAGAAGGAUGCAUGAGAAUAGUUGAGAUGGUCAAGCCAAGGAAUGAUCCUGAUCACCGCCAUUUUUCAUUUUUUGUAUACCAGCAGCCAGCUCCUCUAGUUCAAGGGGCAAUUUGCUUUUCAGAGUUGGAUUUUUUCAUUAAGUGCAUGCAUGGUAAGUAUUCUCACAGAGCAAUAACAUUUAGUGAGAAGUAUUCAAUUUGAUGGUGUUUUUGGAUAAUUUGGUUGGUGUUUUUUGAUAAGGAAAUUGAUGGGUGUUCAAACAGUGCAUUAGCAUGAAAUUCAUAUAUUCCCUUUUUUGUUCUUCGCUUCUUUUUCACUAUUUUCUUCAUUCACACUUCAAAGAAAAAGUAUUUCAUACUUUGUUGUAGCCCUAAAAUAGUUCUACUUAAUGGUCAAAAGCAAAUACAUCGUAGUUACCAAAAAGCUCCUUAGACAACAGGGAUUCGAAUGUGCUGUAGGACGUACCACUGUACAGUUUCUUGAUGGUUUCUUGCUGUUACAUUUAGCUGAGAUAAAAUUGCCCAAUUUCAACUGUGCACUUUUUAAGAAGCAUUUUUCUCUGAACUGUAACAACUAAAGACACAGGCGACUUUGUGACAUACAGGUGUCAUUAGAUCAUUUUCUGUGGUUACCAGGGAUACAGAAAAGAAAAGGUCGUGAUGUGUUGCCAAUAUUACUUAUUAGAGGUGUCCUUUAUUAAAAUGGUUAAGAGUGGGAUUAUUCCUUUUGGCUUGGUUAGGCAUAGUCUGCUUGUUCAGGAGUUAAUAGAUGGCUGGAUGCUAUUACCACUACAAGAUUGUGGUCUCCAUAGCUCAUGUUUUAAUUUAACUUUUCCUGCAGCUGCUUUUGGCCCAUAGAUAUUGUCUUUCACCUAAAUUGUAGUGAUGAUAACUGUCUGUUUAAAAACUUCAUCAAGAAUAAAUCAGCAUUAAUCUUACAAAGCUUUUCCAAUUGCGUUUGCAGGUGAGAUAGCUGGAGAUCUAGUAUCGUGUUAAAGAUUGAAUUCUGUGUUCUUUCAGAGGAUGUUAAAUAACAGGGAUGGACUUUUCAAUUGCUCAUGCUGGUUUCAUCCAAGGUAAAAGGAGACAUGAGGUUCGAAAGUUCCAUAAUAGUUGUUCUAGAUUUCAGUAUGAAUUGUUCCGGCCAAAGAAGUGACAGCAUAAACUUCAACUUCAAUUUGUGGUGUCGUCUAACUCAUGUUUCUUCUAAAGGCAGUUUCAGAUCACAGAAGAAAAAAAACGAACGAAAAAAGAGGCAGUUGGUAUGUGGUGCAAAGCCAUUUGUAACUUUUGUUUUUUUGAUUCCUCUCUCUUUGUUUUGUAGUAUUAAAAGGCAUAUUUAGCUGUGUAAAUAAAGUUUGUGUAAUUUAACAAAGACGCUCAGAUCAAAACAGAAGGGAUUGGAUUGAACAGAAUUGAGCAAGAAAGUGGUUCAGUCAAAAUUAAUGGAAUCAUCUUUUGAACUGUGGUUUUAACAGAUUAACGUUUCUUCUGUUAUGAAUUGGGCCCAGGCCCCAGAACAAAACAAGAAGACAAGAAAACUAUCCACUUUAGAAUGUUUUACUCUGAAUGUUAUGUAUCUAUGAAUUUUUGCAAACAAAUGUGAAAUAGUUACUGAUUAAGAUUCUCUCAGUUUGAAAAAGUGUUUAUAUUUUAGAUGACGAGCUCCCAUGCCCCCAAGGGAUGUUUUCAAAUGUAUAAGAGUUUUUCAAAUCACAAGAAUAAAGCUCGUUUGGUAUUAGAGAUUUGAGUGGGAGGAUUUUGGAUAUGGAUUGGGCCCAAUUUAAGUCAUUGGAUUUGGAGUUGACCUAAAUUCAUCUAAUAUCAUAGGUCGAAACAUGGUAUGUGAAAUAACUUAUGAAAUUAGAAAUUUGGAAAGCCCAAUUUAAGUAAUUGGAUUUGGAGUUGACCUAAAUUCAUCUAAUAUCAUAGGGCGAAACAUGGUAUUUGAAAUAACUAUGAAAUUAUAAAUUUGGAAGGAUUUCAACAAAUUUUUUUAGUACAAGCGAUAGUCAAAACUAAGAUGCCACAGAGGUUCGAACUUGAGACCUUUAAUAAGUCAAGAUCUUUUUCUACUAGGCUAGACCCCAUUGAUAAGAAUUUCAACAUUUUUAUUCUUCAUUUGCAUUUCUCUACUCUCCAGCUCUCUCCCUUUCGUGCAUGGUUACAUGAAAUUAGGACUGGGUCCACAAUUGAAUGAAGAGUUGAGAGGUCUUAGAUACCGGAUUUUGGGAUUGGAGUGCAAUGCAUGAGCGGGAUCAUCAUUUGGCUCGCAGUCCGCUAGUCGAAGUGGGUAGCUCGAGAGCCGAUGGGCCAAAGCCCAGUCUAGCCUGAUGGUUAGGUCCGCUUGGCUCGAUUCGUUCUAAGGUUGGAUAGGGUUUGGACUUAGGAUUUGAAACCUUCGGCCUGCCCAUGGCCCGACCCAACCCGAAUAGGCUCGCCCAUAGCCUUAUAUUGCCUUAUUUCCAUCCCAAACGUUUAAGUAAAUGUCUUGUUUUUUUACUUUAAUUUAUUUCUAUAUUAUUCUAUUUACUUAAGUUUACAAUGUAUGUAGAAUUGGUAAAUGAAAAAAGAGGGAAAAAAGAGUGAAAAAGAAAAUGGAAGAAUGAAAACAUUUUAGAAUAGUUUAAAAAAAAAACCAGUCUUUUGAAAAUAAAGAGGAACAUAAAAAAAUGAACCCAUUUAAUAACCAAUUUUCAGUUUCCAGUUUUCAUUUGUGAAAAAUUGCAAACAGGAAACUUUGUUUAGGGUAUUCGCAUUGGGUGCCCAAAAUUGUGCCACGUGCCUAAUGCGCCUCCAAAUUAACUUUGAAAAGAAAAAAACAAAAAGAUUUCGCUUCGGCUGCGUAAUUUUCAUUGGUGGUAACAGUCUGAUUUUUUGGCGCUUUUAAACCGACUUUCCCUGAAGGGGAAGAUACAGACAAAGCCCAAACCCUAAUCUCUAAACAACAGCAACGGUUCUGAGAAAAUUUCAUUUCAUUUUCCUCGACUUUCCUUCGCUCUCCUUAAACUCAUCUCAAUGGCGACUGAAUCAGCAGAUUCGUACAUUGGGAGCCUCAUCAGCCUAAUUUCCAAGUACGAAAUACGUUACGAAGGUGUUCUCUACUUCCUCAGCGUCCAAGACUCCUCCAUUGGCCUAAAAAACGGUACGUUUUGCUGUUCCAUUUUUUCAUCUGUCUGUGAUUUUCGCACUUUCACAUUUACAGAUAUAAUCGCAUGUGUGUUUGAUUGAUAAAAUGUCCCUAACAAUCGGUACGCUCGGCUAGGGUUUAGUUUUUUCCCUGUUUUUUUCCACAAAUCUCUGUGUGUGCAUAUACAAGUAUGUAUGCUUGUGAAGUUCUUAUGUAUUUGGUAUUUGGAUCAUAUUUCUGGCAGUGUAUGUAAUUUCUAUCAGAAACAUUAUCUCAAAUGUGUAUAAAUGAAUGUAUUUUGUGCUGCUAAGUUGUUGUAGUUUAUAUCUGUCAGUUCUCAAGGAACGGGGUUUAAUUGGACAAUAAAUUCUUGCUACAAACCACAAAUUAUUUAGUUCGGCAAGAAAUCCUUCUGUGAGCUUGAAAAUAAAGCAGUAUUUUAAAGAACAUUUUGCUUGCAAUCUAAUUGUUUUUUCAUGGUAAAGUUUUCAUCAUACUCAUUAGAUGUAAUCUUCCACCAUAUCUUUUUAUAUUGCGUCGAAACUUGUAAGUUACAGUACUAAGGGUUAACUUUGUUAUUAAUGUUCUGUGGUCAACAUCAUGCAAUGUUCUUAAGGUCUUGAGAUCUUCUAGGUAAUAAAAUGAGAAAGAGAAAGAGAUGAGUCAGUUCAAUGUUUAUAAUGUCUUAAGUUUUCUAUCAAGUAAUUUUCUAUUUUUUCAAAGACUUUUUUAUACACUAGUUGCACUUAGGUGAAAUUGCUAUCUGUUCUACUUAUGUUGUGCAUACAACGUGUGUGCAUAGACAACGUUUUAGCACACCCAGUUUACAGUCUUCAUACCUGAAUUUUAGUUAAAAUUAAAACAUCCGUAGGCAUAAGUUACAUAAAACUCUUCUUGUCUUCUAUAGUUGGGAAAUCAAACAUUUUGAAUGUAUCGACUUCUGUAUGAUAUUGCAGUUAGGUCAUAUGGAACAGAGGGGCGUAAGAAGGAUGGCCCACAAGUUCCUCCAAAUGAUAAGGUUUAUGAAUAUAUUCUGUUUAGAGCAAGUGACAUUAAGGUAAGAGGGAGACAUAGUAUACUUGAUUACUGUUUACUCUUAUAUCAUUUUCCUUUUAUUUAUUUUGUUAGUUCUUGCUUUGAGGUGGCAGGUUUUUAUUUUAUUUAUUUAUUUUUAAUUUUAAAAUUUUUUGUCUUGGACAUGUCAUUGUAAUUCCUAUUAUUUUGUUUUUUGUUUAUUCUUUAUCUUCAUUGUAAAUUUCCUUUAUACCAUGCUUGUAAUUUGUAAGUUUACUGGAAGAGACAAAUUUUUCUGAUUCUAAAUUGAUGUAGAACCAGAAGAGAAGUAGACAAAGGUUAGAAAAUAGGGAGAACCAGAGAAAAACACAUGAUAGAGGUCUAAGCAGAGAAGAAUGAGAGAUGGAAGAGACUGAGAAGGAGAAAGGCAAGUUAGGAUAAACUCAAAUUCUUUGUUAUCAAAUCAGAUAGGUGAAAGUAUCAAAUUCCAAUCAUAAUAAGGCCAGUUUAUAUAUGCAAUCCUAUAAGAUUAUAGUCGCAUACCAAUUAUCAAUAAAGCUAAUAAAUAACUAGCCCCCAAGUUCCAUGUUAAUUAAAUAUAAUUUAAACUUAAGAUUUUGCCUACACACAAAAUUUUCUUCUUGCAUUCAUCAUUAAUUUUGUAGGCAUUUGUUCUCCCAUUGGAUAAUAUCAUCAAUCAAAACUCCUUUAUAACGUAGAUAUUUGUAUCUUUAUUACAUUGAUGCAUAAGAGAAAGAAAUAGAGGAGGGAGAGGAAGAGAGGAAGUGGUUAGGGUUUCAAUUUUAUAAUAGUUCCUAAUUCCAGUCAUCUUAGGUUUUUUUGAUGCCUAUUAUAUAUAAUCGGCAGUCCAAAUCUGCUAAGGAAAUCCUGACAGUAGUAGAAAUAUGGAUCCUAAUAGUUUAAGAAAUCUUAAUUUAAAUUAAUGAAACCCAGUAUAAGAUAAAAAUCCCAAAGUUGAAAUAAAAUGGGAAGGUCCUAAAUUGGUACAAACCUACUUACAUCAUUUUUCUGGCUACAAGAAUUUGAAAUUUUAAUAACACUCGGGUAGUGCCAUUCAUACUUGUUGAAAAGGUUGAAGUGAGGUGAAGACCACCAUCAGCAUCAGGGUUCGUAGCCCUAGGCUUGAAGAUCUAGGACUAAUCUGAGCAUAUGAUGGUGUUUCAAAAGGGUAACUAUAGGCUCUCCAAAUCAACAUGAAAAUUAUCAUAUGUUCUCACAAGAAUCAUUGUUAAGUCAUGGCUGAAAACAAAAAUCCAAGGACAACUAAGUAGAAGUUUAGAGUGUAGCUGCAUAUCAUUCUUUGUGGAGUUGGGUUAUGGAUGUUAAAAACGAUAUUGGAAGUUUAAUGUCCCAUUGAUGGUAACUGGUGAAGGUUCUAGAUUCUUUAGAGGCUACUAAUUUUAUGUUAAUCACAGAUUGUGAUGCAAGGAUUUCUUGAGGCAUGUUGCUCCUUUUUUUCUGGGUGAAAGGCAUGCUGCUCUUUGAAUUUUUAGUAUGUAACAUAGACAGAGAUUACCCUGCUCUGUGUGUGCGUGUGUGUGUCUAUAAUAUCUCUGUAAACCUCUUUAAAAGCCUCUACUUCACUCUAUAGCUGUUUUGGUUGAUCUUAAAUUCUUACUGAUCUAGCUCACUAUAAAGAAAAAAAGGUGCAGUUCUGUCAACAAUUUCUUUAAUUAUAUAAUGGGGAAACUGAGAAACUUGAGCAUGCAAUGUUCUGCGUGACUGGCCUUUUAAUUGGUUUUCUUCUCUAUGUUGUAUGAAAAUUAUUGCAUGUAUCUGGCUUUUUAUCCUACUUGUGGUUUACAUGACCUUUUUAGGCAUGAGACCCCCUGUGAUGUUCAAACUGACAUCUUUAUCAGCAUCACCUUAAGUAUAUUAUUGUCCUUUUCCCUAUUCUGCCCUCUGUUUUAUUAGUUUUUAUGUGGCAUGGAAGGUGAUACUUCAACUAGCUCUCUCUCUCUCUCUCUCUCUCUCUCUCUCUCUCUCUCUCUCACUCUCUACCCUUCCCUCUCUCCCAGAACACAGAUGUGCAUUUUUUUUCCUAGAUUUCUCUUAGAGCAUGAGAUGAUUUUAUGACUGAUGUUGAUGAACGAGAUCUCAUUUUGAUGAAAACGUGCCUAGACAAUUAAACAAACAAACAUAUUGGGAUGCUAAAUAUGAUAGACUAUUCAUGUACUGAAAAUGGGCCUAUUUUCACAAUUAUAGGAUUUGCAAGUUAAGUCUCAUCCGCCUGCUCAAAGAGAAGAACAAACUCACGAUGAUCCUGCUAUUAUACAGGUAUUGACAUUUGGUUAAAUACCUUUGCGCACAUACAGACACACUCACACAUUAAAUGACAUAUGCAUUUAUAAUCUCUAUGAGUAAAUUGGAAAAUAUAAUUUAUAUAUUUAUUUAUUUUCUUUGCAGUCACACUAUGCUGGGGUGCCUGUAAGUUCUCCAGCAUCAGCAUUAGUUGGAGGUAAAAAUUUGGUAGAAACAACUCAUUGGCAGGAUACCCCUGCUUUGACUAGUAGAGGCCAUAUUGGUGUAUUGCCUUCAUAUAAUUCUGCAAUUGAAGUUGGUACAUCAGGACAUUCCUCUUAUACUCAUAUUGCUAGUCCUCCAGCACUUUCUUUUCCGAUGUAUUGGCAAGGAUACAAUGGGGCAUCACUUGAUAUGUCUGAUCAUCCACAUCACCGUAUUCCUUUGCAAUCUCCAUCUGCUGUGUCACAGCCCUUGACAAUGCAGAAUAAGGCUCCUGAAAAUCACGCAUCUAUCGCUGUUGGCUUGGCCACUACAUCAGAAUCUCCGAACCCUAUAAUUUCAUCUUCUACACCAGCUUUUGUACAUCCAAACUUUUCUACCUCUGUCCCUUCUGUACAUUUUUCUUCCGGUCUUGAUAUGCCUACGUCCAUGGCUGCACAGGUAUCUUUACCAUCUCAUUCUAUACCUCUAAAUGCUAGCCGACUAACUAUGUCUUCGUUGCCUUCACCCUGCCAAGACUUAGACAUAAUUGAAACACAAAUUGCUACUAAAGCUGUUUCUGAUUCAGUACCUGUUCUACCUGCACAGUCCAUGCCUUAUCCUGGAUCGUUUUCUGUGGGUUCUGAUCGAGGUCCCUUGCUAACACCACCCCCAUCUUUGUUAACUCCUGAUCAAUUGGCACCAUCUAGAUCGCACAUACUUUCUUCCUCACAGAAACUCUACCUUGAUGGAAAGGAUAUGGGCAUUUUGAUGCCAACCUCAUCUGGAUCUUCAUCCUUGAUUCCUCCUGUAACUCGAGCACCAUUAUUGCCAUUGCCUACUUCCCAACAGGUGAGAUUCGAAAGUUGCAUUGUCUGCAUAUACUUUCUGAUAACUACAUUUCUCUUUUUUAAUCCUUGUUUAUUUUCAGAUAUUAAUGCAAUUGAUUGUGUUUUAUAAUCCAAAUAUGUUAGUGCUUCCAUAAUGAAGGCUCUGUGAACUUCUGCAUACUAGACUUAGACCUCAUAUUUCUGCAUUUUAAUGUGCUUUGUGUUUAUGAACUAUCAGAAUCCCAUAUAUCUAGGUUUAUCUUGACUACUGAAAAAUAAGAAAAUCUUUAGACUUUCAAGGAAACUUCCCGUCGAGAUGAAAAGUAUACGGAAACAGUUUUAUUUUAGCAAUUGUGACUUACUAAAUAGAGGAAUGUUAUUAGAACUAAGGAUGUUUUUUGGAUGAUCAAAUGCUUGUAUUUAGGCCCUGUAUACAGUGUAACUGAUCAUAUAUUUAACUCUAAUAGUUUUUUUGCUAUGUAUAAUAUAUAUCUUGGGGCUGGAAUUAUCACACAAUGACCUCCACGUUUGUUGUGCUUUUUGCUUGCUGGUGUGGUUGUGUGCAUGUGUGGAAUGGAUCGAGGCAGAAACAAGUGAUUUUGGAAGGAAGCUUGACCAGAAAUCUUAGAAGUGUGUAAUUGCAUUCUGAAGCACACAUUUCUCUACAUGAUAUGGAUGCAUGCACUUAAAAGUAGUGGAAGUGUGGUGUACAUUUAGAAGUGCAUUCCCACAUGGAAGUAUGGUUUUAUGAUCCAGUUUGUCAUGCCAUUUUGCUGUCGGUAUAUUGAGCAUUCUUGUUGUGCUUAGGGGAAAUAUGCAUCUUAUUUUCCUUUCGUAUCUUUCUGAAAAUAUUCACUUUAGCAGAAGCAUAGUUCUAUUUGUUUUAAUUUCUAGAUGUUUCCUGGAUUGAAUAUCAUGACUUGGCAUUCUGGUAAUCUAUUUCAUUGUUCUGUUAUAUAAUGCAGUCUCCAUACUCAGCUACACCGUAUACUGAGGAGUUUGAUUUUCUAGCCAUGAAUGAGAAGUUUAAGAAAGAUGAAGUAUGGGGUUACCUAGGAAAGGAAAAACAAAGUGACCAAACAGAAAGAGUGGAUAAUAGUGGAACUGGUCAAUGUGUGGAUGACAAAGAAGGUUCUGGCCUGAUACCCAACACAAAGGUAGGACAUGGAUUGUUAUAUACUGGAUCAUUUAGCAGUCCAGUGCAAAUUGUGAACUGUUGAUUAUUGAUUAUUUUUUGUUUGUUUCAUGUAGCCUGCGUAUAACAAGGAUGAGUUUUUUGACACAAUUUCAUGUAAUUCGCUCAACCGUGGAGGAAGAAAUGGACAUAGGUUUUCUGAGAGAAUGAGGCAGGAUACUGAGGUUUGCUAAGUUAUUGUUCUUUUUUUUUUUCAAUUGAAUAUUACAUACAAAAGUGAUAGUGAGUCAUAGUUGGGUGAUUUAGUAAUUUUGUGUCAUUAUUUCUUUUGCAGACAUUUGGAAAUUUCCAGCAGAGAUAUAAUCUUGCCUAUGGUGGUUAUGGUGCUGGACGUGGUGGUAAUUACCGGGGUCCAUAUCAAUGGGGAAGGGGAUAUGGCUACGGCGGGAGGGGACGUGGUGGUAACAUGCCCUUCUAAUGUCAAUUUGUGUUUUAAUGUUCACUCAAGGUCCAUGAUUGCUUGUCUAUGGUUUCUUUGUACCUCAUUCUAGACAUUGAGGACUGAAUCUCAAAGGUAAAUGUUGUGGACAUUUUGAGAUCUUCACGUUUGUUAGAGGAUUCGGCUGGUUCAUGCCGUUUUAGUGCCCAUGAACUGGCCUUUGCAUCUCUUGUUUAAUGCAAAUAUUGUCCAUUAUACAAUCAGUAGAAAUAGAAAUCAAAUGCUGGUGUAGUUUUUACUUCUGCUCUCUCUCUCUCUCUGUGGAAUGUCUUUGCAAGAGAGAAUCACACAUCUAAGUAAUAAAUUUAAGAAUAAACUGCAUAUGUUCAUUUAAUUAAUAGGAAUAAUUACCUCCUUUUUCCUUAAAAAACAUAAAUAAAAUAAUUUCCUCACAUUCUUUGUGUCAUUAUUUGUCCUCUUUUUGUUGAAGAUCCCUUUCUAGUAGAAUUGUUAAUUGUACGCAGUGGAGUCAGGCGGAUGAGGUUGUGAGUAAAUAAGUAGAUAGUGCUUUUCUUUAGUGGGUUGGGUUCCAAGGUGGUUGCUUUUUUCAAUCCACUGAAUGAAAAGAUCAUUUUGAAAAGUAUUUCUUUUGUCAAGUAUUAUUUUUUUGGUCAGGUAACAAACAAUGGAUACAAUGGAUAUUGUUACUAAACAUUCUUAGGGUGCAUUUUAAGGUCUGACAUUUUCAUGUUUUGGCAACCUUUUUUUUCUUUUGGUUCAUGUUAAAGGUAUUGCAAACCAAAGAGUAGACUUUAUAGAAAUUCAUAACAAACCAUGCCCUUUUGUGUAUUAAUAAAAAUUAAAAUUGUAGUGCAUCCUUUGGAAGUUGGAGUUUUGGGCUAUACUUUACUUUUUCAAUUUAGUAGAUUGGUGUCCUAUCCUGUUGUUUUGUUUGACAAAGUGAUAGUUUAAACUAUUCUAAUGUACGGGGAGGGCGAUUGAACUCGGGUGUAAGGGGUGAGGUGAGCACACUGUCUUGACCAACUGGCCUAACUCACGUAUGUGGUGGGGAGGGGAAUUGGUUGUUCUCUACACCAAAAGUUGUCUUUAUUCUCUAUGACUUUGUGUUCAACUUGCUUUGCUCUUUUGCUUUAGAACCUUCAUCAACUUGGGUCUGCCUCAUGGUUGUGAUGAUGAUGAUUAAGCCGAGCGUGGAACCAAUUGCAAUUAGAACCAGAAUUCCUGAGCCAAUAUAUAUUCCUUGUUUGACUAAGUAGCAUUGGCCAUCCAGCCAUCCUUGUCCGUAGGGUUGGUCUCUGCUCAUGCUAGUUGCUGCGCUUAGCAAUGUGACUGCCAUUACAAAGCUGGUCCUGCAACAAUGGUCCAUUUCCAAAAUUCAUUAUCUCAAUCCGCGUUUUCCCAUUCUCAUGUCUUAUUAAUGUUUCUUAAAUUGAGACACUUCCAGCUGAGAGCUGAUCUGUCCAUUUUCUAAGGAACUAUUUUUUUUUUUCAUUUUUUUUGGGGUUUGAAGAAGAAAUAUAGGCCUAAUUGCUGCAGUGUAUCUUGAAAUUAAUGAUCAGAUCUCAUAUGCCUCUCGAAAUUUAAAAUGACUCAAUUUGUACUAUUUACCGAUGUUUUGCUUUUCAUUUUACCCUCCACCAUUAAGUCUGUCAAAAAGUCCGUUAAAAACAUUGACGUGAUAUUAAUGAGACUCAUUGUUGUACCAAAAUAUAUGUCACAUGUUAGCGUUUGCAACGGAUAUUUUGACAGACUUGACGAUGAAGGAUACAGUGAGACGCAAAACAUCAGUCAAGCGUGCAAGGUGGGUUACUUUGAAUUUUCAAGUGGCAAUGUGAAAUUUAACUAUAGUUUGAAGGGGUACUAAAGCAAUUAAGCUAAGAAAUGUGUGGUCUCCCGAAACCCACUCUAGUUUCCAAGUAAAGGUGACCCACAUGGAGAAAUGUCUGAAAACAGGUGGAACUGGUUAUGGCCUUAUCUGGGGUUGGAUAGUUUAUUUUAUCUCAAUUUCUGAAAUUUCAAUCAUGAAGGAUCAAGAGGAGAAAUAGAAACAAAAAUUGUAGCAGGCAGCUAUUUUCUUAUAUUGCGUAUAUGGUAAGAACUUGUCAACCGUAAACCAAAAGGAUAGAUAUUGUGGAGGAGAUUGAAAACCUACCAAGAGAUGCACGCAAGAGCCAUCCAAAUCGUUGGUGUUUUCGCUUUGGAACUGAUACUGAAAUCACUACCACUCUUCUUCUUUCUCUCUCUUGAACAAAAAUAAGUGCAAACUAUCAAAUUCCCCACCAUCUGAGCUGCAAACAAACAUAUCAAGGCUGCAACUCCAAACCCAAAUGCCUGACUUUCUGGCAAAUGACAGAGUCUUCCAAUCACCCUCAGCUCCUCCUCCUACAAAUCAAAUACCACAAUUAAUCAAAAAAUUAAACUAGUAAUUAUUAUUAUUAAGAUCAAAAGUGUGUUUAUAUGUAUGUAUGUAUGUACCUUUGUUUUCUUAAUCUCUGCGGCUAUGCAUGAUAUGAUGGAGACAAGGCCAAGGCAGGCAACUACAAAAAGAAUUAGCACCAACUCAUAUUGGUGUUUCUCCAUGAGAAUUGAGAAGGAUGCUGAGAGCUUGUUGAGAGAAGCUUGAAAUAUAAACAGAUGAGGAGGGGGAGGAGGAGGAGGAGGAGGAGGGGUCUUGGAUUUUACUCAAAGUAUUGAAAAUAUAAUAUUUGGUGGUGGUGAUGGUGGGCUUUUGGGUUUAGGUGUAGACAGUAGGUAGGUACCAGUCUUCUUCCUCUCUAGUUGUUGUUGAGACUUUCUUCU